GGUUCAUUUCCUGUGACAUCACAAGGGAUCACUGUGAGGUAUGCUACAUACCAUCCCAAAGAGCCAAUGCCUGAGCCUGAGGUUUGACUUUAUGCUUCAGAGAAGCAGUUGGUUGGUGAAGGAGCAAUUGGACGCACUUGUAACUAAUAGACUUGGACUUUCCCCACCGAUUCUUCCUCAACAUAAGGAGUUUGCUUCAAGUUUUCAAUUUGGCUCAUGAAAUGCUACCCCCGUUGAAGGAAUCAGAGAAAGAACUGGAAGAGCUUGAAGGGGCUCGAGACCCCAUAUGUACAACAAUGCCAAGCAACCAGAGCUUCCAGGGACUAAGCCACUACCUAAAGACUAUACAUGGACUGACCCUGGACUCUGACCUCAUAGGUAUCAGGUCAACUUUUAAAUGAGAGUUUUGCACUGUCAUACCUCAUUACACCUGAAUAUGGUGGGAUAAAGCAAACACGACUGAGACAUAAAGAGGAACAUCGUUGUCAUGAAGAAGAAAUGAUCCGACACAGAGAACUGGAGGGACUGAGGCGACAGCAGGAGGGUUUUAAACCACACUCUAUGGAACAUUGAGAACAGGACAUGAAGAUGCAUGAUAUGGGUCCCCGUGGAGCAAUAAACAUGGGAGAUGCAUUCAGCAGAGCACUUGCUGGUACCCAAGGAUGGCUCCUCCAAUGAUGGGUCUUGUACAGGUAACCACAGCUACUGCAAGUAUCAAAAUAAAAAGCCAAGCCAGAGGUGUAGCUCAGUGAUACGGCAUUUUCUACCAUACUCAGAACUGUAGGUGAGUCCCAGGUAAGGAAACAAAAAAAAUUAGCAUUAUUUUUUACAUUAAUUUUCUUUAGGCCCCUCAAAAUGGUUCAGUGAGCAAAAGACUUUUCACUGAGCCCGAGGACCUUGAAAGCCAGAACGCGUAUGGGUGAUAAUAUUUAUCAGUUGUCCUGUGACCUUCAAUGUAUACGAUACUAUGCAUACAUACACAAAUACCUAGAAAAAAUAAAAGUAAAAAUAAGUUACUUCAAUUUAAACCAUUUUUAGUUCACAGUAUUGUCAUAAUCUUAAAAUCAUACCACAGACCCCAAUAGUUUGGUCCUGGUGGAAUUUUGGGAGACAAUGAUAAAUUAAUCUGUUCCUACAUUUCAAAAUAUAUCUUGUUUGAGUAAGCCUUAGAAGGCUAAGAAAUUUUCCACAUUAGUAGAGUGCUUGCCUAGCAUACACAAGACACUGGUUUAGAGCUACAGGAGUUCAUAAAUUGGGCAUCAUGUGUACAGAACUUAAAAGAUGAAUGCAAAAGGCCUAGUGAUUCAAGACAUUUCUGGGCUGUGUACAGUUCACUCACGAACAGCCCAGGACUAUGGGAGAACCUGUGUGCAAAACAAACAAACAAAAAUAUGCAACAGAAUAAAGGAAGUCUCAUGCAUGCCAUCCAUUUAGAUAUGAUCUAUUAUCGUUAACUACUUGCAAUGUUUGGACUAGCUUAAUGCACAGGCAAGUCUUUAAGUGGAGUCUGAUAUAGAGACAUAUAUGCCUUUGGUUAACAGUGCUGCCGUUGCUCGAAUGGAGUUCCUGUACAGUAUACAGAGUAAGGGCAAUCUUAAAAGUGCCAUUUUAAUUUCCUGGACUACACAUUAUUAUCCUUUUGAAAUUCCAAUCCCAUGACUUCAAAGAGCAACGCAUCAUGCAUUUCUAUAGUUUGCAAUGCAAUUGUUUCUCACACACACAAUCAACACACACAGGUGUUGGUUGACAAUAUAUACUGAGUUAGCAUGCAUUUGACUUCUUUUCCAUGAACUUGAGCACUGUUCAAAUUGGUUGUCCUCGGGUUUCUAUGGGCUCUCAAUGCAUACAUACAGAAUAGAAUGAUUGAAAUUCAUUCAGUUUAUGUCCUUAUGAUCCACUAAACUUAAUAUUUUGAUUUUAUUUUUUUAACAUAUUCCCUUGGAACACACUUUACACGUUCGUUUUGCAUUUUAAGUGUAAGCUCAAAGCAACUAGGAGGAGCUGCAACUCCAUGGUAACAGGAGUCUGGGCUGAGAGCUUCAUCAGUAAGAAGCCAUUUAUAAAAAGGAUGUUUUAUGCAUUCAUUUUAGGGUACCAGUUAUUAUUUUACCUGCGUCUCAAGUAUUGCUACUGGAUAUUCUACACACCACACAGAUUCUGUCAGUAUUCUUAAUGGUUAUCAUUGUGUAAUUAUAAUCAUCUUACCUUACUAUGCAUCAGAGAUUUAGCCCGAUUCCUACUGGACUAAUCCAAUACAGUCAUAACACAUUAAUUUUUUGUUUGCAUCUUUUGUUCCAGAUAUGAGAAAACCUAUUAUUUAAUUUUUGCUUAGGCUGAUUACAUAUGUUUAGUUAUAUGUAUAACCAGUUACCCAUUACUCCAUGAUUUUUUUCAAAGCUAGCAUUACAAAAUGGCCAUUUGGAUAUUGUAAAAUGUGAUAGCUGGUCAUUUUUUACAUAUAUAUGUCAUGUACACACAUGUGUGUAUGUGUUCUCUUAUAGUCAAAUACAGAAUAAAAAUAGCUUUGUAUUUAAAUUUAUUGAUAAUAAGAAAAAUGGUUUUUUAAUCUCUUUAAAUAUCAAAUUACUUCUUUGGAAAAAUCAUGCAUGAUUUGAGAAGUAAGGUCCAUAACAAUGGGGGAGGUGUGACAGCAGUUGGUCAGACAAGGAAAGGGGAAGAUCACAUUUUCAGCCUCAUAGAGGAAAAAAGGAAGAAUCCCAAAAGGGAGCAAGGUUCUAACUCUCAGUACCCAUUCUCAAUGACGUACAUUCUUUUGUAGGACUCCACAUCCAAAUAUUUCUACAGCCUCCCCAAAUGGUGACACCAAAUGGAGAACAAGUAUUCAAAUAAAAAUAUCUAUGGGGGAUAUUUCUCAUUCAAGCUAUCACAGAUGGAAAGAGCUUGUAUUGUUUUUGGAGUUACUAGGGCUUCCCAAUGAAAACACACAAGGUAAAGUCACACAACUGGCAACAGAGCUUUUUAUUAAAAUCCAAGAAUUCUAGAACGACCCUUUCCCUGGACUGUAAACUUUUCCUUUAAAAUUAACUUAGCUUACAAGAGUUGAAUUCUAUGUGAGUUUUUCCUACUCCCUUAAUUUUACUUAAUGCUCCUCCUUACCCUUUUAUCUGUCCCCAAGCAACUUGUAAAUUGCUUUUGGUACAAUAAUCAUUUACACAAUAUGAAUUCUAUCAAUCCAUGAUCAUGGUGUUGCUCUCUGACUUCUACUGUCUUCCUCCUUUCUCUGGCUUUUUCCAAGUUUUACUUACAGGGGUCUUUCCCCUACUUUGUUAGGCUUAUUCUAGAGUACAUUUUUGAGGAGAAGGUAAGUGGGAUUAAUUUCCUUACUUUUUACUCAGUGUGCUUGCCACUGAUAUACAGAAAGCUACUUAUUUUUGUAUGUGAAUUUUCAUUCUAUGACUUUGCUGACCAGAUUAUCCAAUUCUAGGAGGAUUAUUGUUCUGUUUUAUUGAUGGAGUAUUUAGGGUCUCUUCCAUACAGCAUAAUAUUUGCUACAAAAAGAAAUCCUUUCAUUUAUUCAUUUCCUUUUUGUAUAGACUUCAUUGAAUUUUUUCAUAACUGUGCAAAAAAAAAAAGAAUAAAGCCCCCCCACUCACUCACACAAAUAAUCAAGCAUUACAUUAUACAGAGAAUUUUGUCUUGCUAUUAUCUAAUAAUAGUUUUAUAUUAAUUACUAUUCUAUUUUUGUGACAAAAUGCUAUAGCCAAUGAAAUUUACCAAAGAAAGUGUUCAAUUAGUCUUGCAGUAUCAUAGAAUUAGCGUCCAGGUUGGUAGAACAAAGGCAUGAAAGGCGUGGUAGCAGGACUAGCUAAGAGCUUAAAUCCAUAAGCGGGAGUAGGAGAACGAUCAACUGGGAAUGUUAUGAGUCUUUUGAAUCCUCAAAGCUCAGCCUCAGUGACACACAACUCAAAAAAGGCCACACCACCUAAUCCUUAAACAACUCUACCAAAUGCAAACUAAUAUUUCAAAAUUAUGAGUAUAUAAUGGCCAUUCUUACAUCAACCACCACAGGCUUGGUUUCUCCAUUUAGCAUGAUGCUGGCUAUGAGAUCUUUGUCUAUAGCCUUUAUUGUGUUAAUAUAUUUUCAGUCCGCCAUUUUGUUCUCUAGUUCUUUUCCCAAGAACCAAUUCUUUUGUAGAUGAAUUUUUCUCUAUGUAGGUUUCCAUAUGAUUUUUGUCUGUAUGUUCUUUUACAUUUUUUGUUUCAUUUCUCCGUGUGCUUAUGUUGAAGCAUCUACACUUGGGGUAGAAUAAAUUAGAUCAUGGAGAAUGGUCUUGAUCUGUGUCUGUUAUCGGUUUGCAUGUUCAUUUUUUUCAGAAAAAAUUUGCAUCAGUGUUCACUAAUAAUAUCAAUCUGUAAUUCUCUUUUAUUGUUUCUUUGUCAGAUUUUGUCUUAUAAUAUAUUGGCCUGUAGAAGAAGUUUGAGAUUGAUUAUUUUUGGAAAAUUAUUUUAAGAUGUUUUGGUUGUAGAUCAAAAACGUUUUGUAGAAUUUUUUAAGUCCAUCUGGACCUCACAUUUUUUUAACUUGAAUGAUUUUUUUAUUUCUACUUUUUUAAAAAAAUUUACUUCCUCAACCUCCUGGUAAGUUUUAAAUUAAAGUUACAAAAGUUAAAGUUUUAAUCAGUUUUUGGUUAAAAUUUGCUUGGGCCACAUAUAUUUGAAAAUUUAUCUAUUUCUUAAAUGAUAGGUUUUCCAACUGAAUGAAAUGUAGGUUUCUAAAAUAAAUCCUUCUGGUUUUCUGUGUGUUUUUUGUAUCUUGCGAUAUCUUCCUGUUCAACUCUAGUUGUAUUAUUUUGGAUCUUCUUGUUCAUUUUAUAAUUAAUUUAGCUUAUAGUUUACUUGUCUGGUCUCACUUUACCUUUUUCAUCCCUGAUUUUUUUAUUAUCUUCUCUGGUGUCUUGCUUUUGUAUAUUUAAGUAAUUUUUAGAGACUGGUUUAUAUUUUUCAAAUCACUUAUUAAUAUUGAGGUAAUUUAUCACAAUAAAAUAUUUCUAUUUUAUCCCAAAUAUAAAAUAAUCUCAUACUUUUUAUGGAAACUAUCAUCCUUCUGUCUUCUUAUAAAAAUGGUUCAUAGGCACCAAGAGUGAGAUAUUUAUUAUAGAUAAAGAAAAGCCAAAGGAAAUAGUUACUUGGCAACAUAUUUAUUUUAAAAUACUGAUAUUGCAUAAAUUUGUGAUUAAUAUCUUAAUAUUUAGUCACCAAUCUUGAGCUUUUUCUGCAAAAAAAUAUAUUAUUUUUCAUGCCUAAAAAUAAAGAAGCAGUUUUCUGGCCCUGGCAAAUAUCAGUUCAAUGUCACGAGUUUGUCUGGUAUUGCUUUAGGGUUCAAAUGCUAAAGACUGUGUAGUCUAAGACCUGUGUGCUCUAAGAAGAGCAGAUCCUCAAGUAUACCACCUUUUGUUGUGUAAACCUUGCUCCCAAGUUAUUUGUGAUGAACAAAGGUGCCUAUAGUCUGUAGCUGGGCAGAAGAGAUGUAGGUGAGGCUUUAGGUCCCUGACUUGGUGUCUCUGGCAGAAGCCAUGAGGGGAGCCUGGAAGAAAGAAGGCAGAAGAAGCUGCUAUGAGGUAGGCGGAUCUUGAGCAUUGGCCAUGGGGUUUGGCCUGUUGAAGUAGAAGUAGCCCAGGUGGAAAAUGGUGUAUGAAAUCUCAGCAUUAAUGCAGGAAAAUAGAGAAAAUAGCAUAGCAGUUGAUACCCGCCAAACUCUACUGCUUUAAGGCUUAUUAUAAAUAUAAACAUUUUUGUGUCCUUCAUUUGGGAAGUAUAUUGUCAAAGUGGGGUAAAAGAAAAACCCAAAUAAUAAUAACCACAUCACUACACAAGAGUCAAGUAUAAUAUAUUAAAAAAAAUACCCUAUUGAGAUCACACAGCCACCCACAUGCUGGUGCAUGAAGAGCUUCUUUGCCUGAGAAAUAAAAGAGGCUGUGCCUCAAGUAUUGAACCUGUGCUUCUAAGAGAAAAUCCUUAAGAACUGACAAAUGCAUCACAGUCAAACUGUUUUGAAAAUUUAAAAAAAUACAACUCUCCCAUUCAAUUAUCCCAAUUCCUGAGACCUCUGCUAAACCUCUUAAAAUAAGGAAAUUGACUAAAUAAGCAACAAUCAGGAAUCGAUGAGGAUAAGACAAGUUGGAGAAGGCUGAUAUAUAACAGUGUUUGUCAAUACACAUCAUCUGUGACUGCACCCACUGACUGUCAGUUGAACCAAGAGUAAGAUAAUCACGUUUGUUUUGCAAUGAACUCUAAGCUAAGCUUGGUUAAAAUAAACAGUGUUGUAAGUAGCGCAUUGCUUAUAUGAAGACUGGAGUGAUAUUAUUUUAUCUAAAUUGGGUCUAGAUUGGGACAGGUAGUGAUAAAGAAUCCAUAGGAAAGGACUUGAGAUGGCAAGGAACUGUUUUCUGUGUUUUGUUUAACUAAUUUCCCAAUUACAUCUUACAUAUUCAUAUGAUGUCAUACACACUACUGAACACCACAAGGUAAGAUACAGUCUUUGCAUUCACCAUACAAUUCUUCCUUAAAUUCAGUGAACUAUCCUGAUGUUAUUUGAAGAAGAAUACUAACAACUACAGCACUGUCUUUAUAUUUUUAUUUUCCUAUAUUGGCGUAAAAGAAAAGACUGAACAUUUAAUACCUCAAAAUAGAAUAUUAAAUAUAUGCCAUUAAUAGAUAAUUCCUGAAGAUUUUUUUUCUGAUAAUACCAGAUUUGCGCUUUCUGAGUCAGAAAAUGUCUCACAUCCACUUAAAACAUCUCUUUUAGAUAUUUAAAACAGUCUAGGGCAUUUUAUAGGUCUUCUGAGUUGUACUCUGAGAACAGCAAUUUAAUGAAAGUCUUUACAUAGAAAUCUUUCUUUUGGCGAAACUCAAAGGUUUGAGAGGGCGAGCACAAUUUCUGCCUCCUUUAGAGCUUUGCAAUAACACAGCUCUGACAUUCCAUUCCACAAAAACACAGCACUGCCUGCCAAGUCACUCUCAUGGGCCGUUCAACAACCAUUAUUUAGGAUGGCUGCCAAUCAAAGUUGAAGUCUUUUGUAUUUCAAAGGAUUUUUAUAAGAGUGUCUAUUAUAACUAUUUACCUGCCAUCUAGUACAGAAAGAUGUAAACCCUUUGAGUCAGUAACACAAACUGUUCUCUCUACAUUUCUGAUUUUGUCAUUAUGAUUCUAUACUGUUUUGGCUCUUGAUUUUUCCUGCUUUUCUACCUUAAUAUGCCCUUAAAGCUGAGGUGCAUGUAUUGGUUUCAGACUAUUUCUUCUCCCUGCACUGCACAGGAACUAAUUGUGCCAUACAACUGGAGAAGCUUGAAGUUUGUUGAAAUAAUGUGUAUAUUACACAAGAUUCUUUAGACAGUUUAUUCUGUUUUACUUUAUCCUUCCCCUAGGCACUGUUUCUCUCCUUUAUUUUCUUCUUCCCUAUCAACUUCUUUAGGAAUAAUUCAAGUUCACAUGCCUUCAAUAUGACUAAUUUGAAAAUGUUUUUCUGUAUAUAUUUUUUCCUUCUAGGCUUCAGACUUACUUUUUAACUGUCUAAUUCAAAAUUACUAUUCAAUGAUAUUAUUUCAAGUUAAAAUAAGAUUUCUUAUAAGCCUCACAUAUUCUGUGCCAACAUCUCACAACCUCCUUUUCCAAGUUUUCUAUUCUAACUAUUCCAAUUCGAAACUUUAAAAGUGCAAUAUUUAAUUCCUCCUUGUUUAGUUCAGUGUUUUCUUCUUUUUCAUUUUUACAGUGACUGAUCUAUAUCAGAUCUUUACUUAUUUAGAUCUAUGAAAGAAUACUUGUUUUUUUUUGUCUCCUACGGUUCCUGUAACUUCCACAUCUGUCAUCAUCGAGAGGAAACUCGUGUAAGACCAUGACUUUGCUCAAAGGUUUUCAGUUAUCUUCCUGUUACUGAGGACAGAAUUGCAUCUAUAUUUACUUCUGAAUAAUAUCGUAAGAAUAAAUCAAAACUUGCCCUACCAAUAAUACAUGCUGUGAAGGAAAACCAACAAAAGCACCCAGAAGUUAUCUGUAAAGUUUCUUUAAAAUAUUGCAAUAUAAAAGAAGAGCUAUGUACUGCAAAGAGAUUAAAGACCAGAAGGCUCAUUUAAUAUUCCAGCAGUUCCUAGAAUAUGAUUACACUUCAGAAAUUAUAGAAAAGCUCCGACUGUAUUAGUUACAGUGUACAGAGCAGGAUAUCAGCAUAGCAGGAUGCAGAGAAACCAGUAGAAGUUGUGACCAACAGAAGUACAUGGUUAUAUCAUUUGAAUUUACUCCAAUGAUUAUAGGACAAUUAAGAGAUAAGCUCUCAGAAGAAUAAAGGAAAAAGUGCUGUCUUACAGGAUCCUUAGCGGUUAAAGACACUAAUUUAUAUAUAAAAAACAAAGAGAACAAACUAUUGUUGUAAAAUUAAGCACAGCCUUGUGUUAACUGUCCUAUCUGAUCUGUCUGUUACGUACUCUCACAUCUCACACCCAAGAAACUAUUUUUUGUGCAAUCACAUUUCUAGAUUGAAGACAAAAUUUAGGAUGGUGACUUGAUGUUUUCAAAUCAGCAACAAACAGGAUAUAUAAUUAUUACCAUUUCUUUCAAAGGGAAUUGAAAUGGUAGUUUCUUAGAGGUUUUAUUUCUGUGAUAAAACACUAUGGUCAAAAGCAACUCGGGAAGGAAAACUUCUUUAAUCUUUCAAUUCUCUGGUCACAUGUCAUUACAGAAAGAAACCAGAGCGGAAUACUCUCCAGGACAUGAGAGUUUAGGAAUUCUCUGGAAAGCUGUUUACUUGCUUUUUGCAUAGGUAUUGUUCAGCCUACAUCUACUUAUUUGUCUGUUAUCUAUGUGUUUAUGUAUCCAUGCAUCUAUGUAUUAUGUAUGUAUGUAUGUAUCUACUCAUCUAUCCAUCAUCCAUCCAUCCAUUUAUUUACUUUUUUCUCAUAUAUUACAUUCUGACUACAGUUUCCAAUUCUUACUCUCCUUCCCUUUCUUUCCCUUCACCUCACCUAUUCCCAACAUCCACUGCUCUUUGUUUUCUCUUCAGAAAAGUGUACGGCUUCCAGGGAUAGCAAUAAAUAUGGCAUAACAAAUUAAAAUAAAUCUAGACUCAUACAUCAUAUUAAGGCUGGAUAAGGCAAACCAAUAGGGAAAAGAGGGCCUAAAAGCAGGCAAGAGAUUUGAAGACAGUCCCUAGUCUUACUGUUAAGGUCACACAAGAACACCGAGUUACAUAGCCAUAGCAUAUAUGCAGAGAACCAGGUCAGACCCACACAGGCUCCUUGAUAUCACCUUAGCCUUCUAAAGCUCCCCUAAAAGUCCUGAUUGAAUCUGUGGGCUCCGUUCUUGUUAGUCUGCUGUCUUAAAGCAUGAAUGACCACCAUUUCCAAUGAUGGAACCACCCAAAAUGAGCAGAUGAGCAGUCCAUCCCAUGUCAACCCGUGAUCAACACAGUAUCUCAGAGUCUUGACUGCAGGUCAAUUUUAAGGAGUCAUUGUCUAAAAUUUCCUCUUUCCAGAUAUGUCUAGGUCUCUGUUGACAUAAAAAAUAAGGUAAUUAAUUAAAUCAAUAAUAUAUCAAAGAAAUCAAGUAUAUAAAUUGAAGAAUAUAUAUUUAAGUUGUUCUGUAACGUAUCAGAGGCAAGGAUCAGGGAACAUGAAAUUAAAGAAGGAAUGCUAAAUCAGGAGUGAAUCACAAUGAACUAUAUCAGAAAUUGAGAAUUUGAGGACUUAAACAUACGUACAGGCAUACAUACACAUAUACACACAUAUUCAGACAGAGCACCUACAUAUCUGAUAGACCAACAAUUGUAUAGAUAGAUAAAAUAGUAAAAAUUAUUUAAAAUAUCCCCUUCAUAUUGCUUUGCUGAAUUUCAUUUAUCACUGAAAGACAGUGGUCAUCUCAUCACAUGAAGUGUAUGAGUAUCAUUUUUUAAAUAUUUUAUUUAAUUGCAUUUGAAACCUGUUGAAGAUGGGAUUCAAAAACUCUUUAGAGGUCCUUAGUUUGGUCCCUAAACCCAUAUUGAAUGUCUCACAGUUAUCUGUAAACUCUAGCUCUAGAUUAUCUGACACUGUCUCUUGAUUCUGUACUAACAUACACACAAAGCUUCAUUUUUCAGUAGAUGGUAAUUAACAUAAAGACCCACAACAUGUCAACAUGUAAUCUGAGAAGUCCUCCCUUGAAUGGGAUGUUUUUAUUACAAUUCUCUUCCUAAGGCUCACAAAUCUAUGCAUACAAGAGGGCAGAAAGACUGUAAGAAAUAAAGGUGGUGAAUAAUUUUUAUGGGAACACCAUUUUCUAGGCACAAAAAUAGUGGAUGCAUGUAUGUGUUACCUCUCAAAUCCUGGAGAGAUUGCUUAUUGAGGUGCCUAUUGGCAUAUAAAAAUAUACAUUUUUCUCCAGCCUCUCUCAGUACCUGUUAAAGAGACAUCCUUUAAAUAUUAUAAAGACACUAGUAUUAUAAAAUAAAGUGUAUAAAAAUUUUUAUGCUAAAACAUUACAAUCUGCUGGGAUUUAUUAUUAGAGUGGAGGAAUAGGUCAGUAACUUAAAAUCAACAAUUCAUAGUAAUAUAUAUCUUAAAGGCCAAAUAAACAUUAAUGAUUAAUUACACUCACCUUUAAAAGUUGAUAAAAAUCCAAGGUCUUUUCUAACACAAAUCUCUAAAUAUCAAGAGUAAGAGAUUUUAUUCAAUACUGGCCAGAGAAACAUAAACCAUAGAUAAUAAUUUCAUUUGUGAAAAAUUGAAAAACAGUUCUCUCCAUAUCAGUGAUAAGACAUGCAUAGCCACUGUUACGGCUCCUAGUUACUAUGUUGUUAGUGGCUGGUCAGGACAUUUAGUUAUGAGAAAGAAAUAAAAGGACCUGAGGGAAAAAAUGUUUGAUUCUGUUACCAAAUUAUCUUAUAAGUGCUCACCAAAGCCUGCAGGGACCGAAUAGUUUAGUAAAAUCGAGGAAACAAAAUUAGAUACCAAUACCAAACUAACUCAGAAGAGAAUAAUAGAAAAAUGAUUUCUAUUUACAAUAACCAUAAAAAAGCAAACACUUGCAUGUUGAGCUUUUGGGCAGGUACAAAGAAUUGUGGGAGGAGAACUGAGAAACACUGGUAAAAGAAGUACGAAGGAGCUAAAAAUAUUAUGAGCACUUCCCAGGAGCAUGAACUAUCAGGAGGAAUAUUGACAAUGACCAUAUGAGCCCCCACCCCACAACAAAUCUACAAAUCCUGUUAACUUUCUUUAGAUUAGUGUUGCCAUUUGGGGUCUGUUUCCCUUUUCAGUCUGUCUAGUUUCAUAGUGGCUACUUGUUGGACAAUAUGUAACCUAAACACUAUAAAAAUAUACAACCAGAAAUGCUGCAUAUUAACUAGACUUGUAGACUUGGUGAAGUACAAUGGCAGCCUAGACUGAAACACUGACAGGAUAUCAUGAAAGAAGCUGUACUAAUUGAUUAGAAAGGUACUGUGACUCUGAAUGUUGGAUACAGAUAUCAGGAUGACAUAAGGAUCAAUGGUUUAAGGAUAAGGUAGCCUAUGAGAAAUUUUACCUAUGUAGACAGAAUAAUAUUUAAUUCUCACUGAACACAGUUUAAUUCUAAGGUUAAAACAAGAAUUGAAGAUAUUAAAUCUUAAGGGAUUAUAGUUUGCAGAGAGAAAUUAAUUUAUUUUAUUCUCAUGUUGGAGAUUUUGCUUAUAUUUCUAGUGCAGUGCUAGAGGUACCAAGCGUUUUGUCUUUGAAUGUUCAUGGUAGUUCAUGCUAUUAGUCUGCAGAUAUCAUAAAAUUUAAUCAAAUCUCCCUCAUGCAUAGUUAUGAUUUAAGAUGGGCACUUUGGAGAGCUUGGCUUUCUCUUUUAGGAGCCUAUUAAUUAUAAAAUGUCUCCUGUUGAUUAACUGCUUCUUGGGGGCAUCAAAAAAAUUAAUGUCUUUUUUAUAACCUGGGAUUCAUUUCAGUUAUGAGAAUUAUUUGGCUAUCAUUUAAAUCAGGUAAAGAUAUGAAACAGAGAACUCAUUGGGUUUUCUUUUCUCUUAACAUACAAAUAUAGGCCACGGUGCCCUAUGGCCUAUUACUUAUUCAGCAACCCUUAAAUUAUUUAAAGUAGUGGAAUUUUCCAUCCUUCAUUGCACAAAUAUUAAACAAGCCGAAAAGGUAUAUGAUUAAAUUAUAAUUCCUAUAAUUCUUUAUUUUAUCUUUUUGCUUAUUUUUCAGGUAUUGAUAUCACUACCAUUAAUUGUUUUUUAUUUGCUUAAAAUGCUACAUUAAAUGAAUAACCCAAUAUAUCCUUUGAAAUUUGUGACUUUCCUUAAGGAUGAGUUUGAUACAUAAUAAAUACGGCAAGUAUAUAGUACUGAAAAUCUCGAUCUUAUAGAAUGAACUACUAGUUAGUAUCAAUAUCCAAGAACCAAUAAAAAGAAGUGGUUUAUAAUUAAGAGGAAAAAUAAUAUAACUAAGGAAAAAAUCGUGUAGUUAGAAUCCUUCAGCUACAGAUAUUCUUUUGUCUCAAAGAAUGUAACUUUACUUUCUUGGUGCAGAAAACAGGAAGUCUUCAUAAAUAAUAUUAUUUUUAAAGAGGAAAAUACUCACUACCAGUUAAUUAAUUCAGAGUAUAACUAUCAAUCAGUCAGUGCCAGUCAAGUCCCUACAAUUCACUCCAGGCUUAGCACUCUUGGUUACAAUAUAACAAGACAGUCUCUUUCUAGCACUGCUUACUGGAGGCAUUCACAGACACUCCCUUCUCUGGAUUUCUUGAAUAAUGUAUUAAUGAGCUCUGCUUGUGAUAAGCGGAUUACACAUGCAGUAAACUUCUCAAGCUCAAGAUCAAAAUCAAGGAUCAUAGUCAUUGAAAUCAUAGUUCAAGCGCUGAGUUCUUCCUCCCACUUUGUAUCUUUGAUACUAAUAUUGUUUCAUCUGUAUAGUUAUGUGUCUCCCUUAUUAAAAUGACGCAUUUGUAACUUUGGGAUUCUAGCCACCCUGAGCUUGCACUUUGAAUGUCAAACAAAAUUUAGUUCCUUUUCUGAAAGCAAGUGUUCAGCCUAAGUGGAGUGCAAUUCUUUGUUUAUGUUUCCUAGUCUUUUAUCUCCAAUUAACAUUUGUUUUACAAUGUAUUCUCCUUAGACAACUGACAUCAAUAAGCAAGCUCUACUGAAAGCAUCAUUAAUUUGGAUUUUAUUUCUUUAGAGAAAAAUCCUGUGGGUAAUUAAAACACUUGCGAACAUACUAGAAAAAUCUCUAAGUCCACAGCCUUUAAAACCUCACAGAAUACAUAGACAAAAAGAAGAUAUGGUUAUCUCUUUAUUUUUUGAGAAUUCUUUUAUUACUAUGUUUGUCUACAUCUUAUUUUAUUUUCAUUACAUGUUUACAUUUUACUGAAUUUUGUAAAUUUUAUAAUACUAAUAUUAUUUGCUGAAUUACUGUUGAGCCCCUUUUAAUGUGUCAAAGGGAGUUUUAAACUCUCGAAAUACACACAAUAAAAGCACAAAUAUUUUCAUUCUAUGCUAACAUCACACUUGCUUUCCUCGUUUUGUUAUAAGGAUAUGUUCUAAAUUAUUGGGCAGAGAAAUACACAUCAGAAAAUAUCUACUAAUGGCCAAAAUACAUUCAAAUAAUAUAAAUGUAAACCACUUGUUCUUAUUCAUUUAUUAAACUGAAAUGGAAAGCCAGUCAUUGCAUAUGAAAUAUAUGAGAAAGCAUCACAUUCUUUCUAUAAUCCUAACACAUGAUUAUCAUACCAUAAUAAUAAGAACAUUUGAUACAUUCUUUUCUCUUUAUAUUAACAAACAUUAUCAUUACUUGAAUUAUAAAGUUUUGCUGUAUUAUGUGUUUUCAAGAAUUAUAAAGAAGAAUGUAAAUGCUCUAAAUGAAGAAUUUGCAUAGUUCACAACAUUUAAAGAUCAUUAUUUUCUAGGAAAUUUAAAGCUUUUCUUACUUUAUGAUUUAUACUAAGCUAAGAAAAUCAAAGAUAUAAAUGAAACUCGAUAAAAAUUUUUUCUGAAGAUGGCUAAAUCAUACACAUAGGUAUUUUAAUGUAAAGGUAUAUAAUACUAAAAGAUUCCUCUGUAUCUCAUCUUCAGACAAACUUAUUUUAAUUUUUAUUGGAUAUUUUAAAUUUAAAUUUUAAAUAUGAUUCCCUUUCUCGGUUUCCCGGACAUAAGCCCCCUAUCCCAUCCCCCUUUCCUUCUUCUAUAAGGGUAUUCCCCUCCCUAACCACUCCUCUUCCUCCCCCGACCCCCCAACAUUCCCCUUCACUGAAGGGUCCAGCCCUUGCAGGACCAAGGGCUUCUCCUUCCAUUGGUGCCCAACAAGGACAUCCUCUGUUAUAUAUGCAACUGGACCCAUGAGUCAGUCCAUGUAUAUAGUCUUUGGGUAGCAGUUUAGUCCCUGGGAGCUCUGGUUGGUUGGCAUUGUUGUUCUUAUGGGGUUGAAAGACCCUUCAGCUCUUUGAAUCCUUUCUCUUAACUUGUCCAAUAAGGACCCCGUUCUUAGUUCAAUGGUUUCCUGCUAGCAUUUGCCUCUGUAUUUGUCAUGCUCUGGCUGAGCCUUUCAGGAGAUGGCUAUCUCAGGCUCCUGUCAGCAUGCACUUCUUGGCUUCAUCAAUAUUGUCUCUUUUCUACAAAUGGAACUUCAGUUACUUCUUUCAUUCCCUAUUUUGCCUCUCAAUAAUAAUUAUAUUUUUUACUAUUUAAUGUCUAAAUUCACUUGAUAAGUGAGGUCUAGUUUGAUUUUAUAUGUAAUUAAUUUUUAAAGAUUUAUCUAUUUUAUAUUUUAUAUGCAUGUAUGAAUUUGUGCCUAUAUGAAUCAUCUAUUUGUAUUUUAUAUGCAUGUAUGAAUUUGUGCCUAUAUGAAUCAUGUAGAUGUCUUGUACAUAAGGAAGCUAAGAGGAGUCAGAUCAGUUGGAAGAACAGUUACAGGAUCUUGUGGGCAACACAAUGGGAGUGUUAGAGACAAAGGUGACAUCCUUUGCAAGAGCAGCAAGUCAUUCUAAAUGUUGAUCAAUCUCCCCAGCCUCUUAAGCUCAGGAGGCAGAACAUUAAGGAUUUUGGUUUGUGAUUUUUCUCUCCUAGUAAUGUCAGUAACUACAUCUCACCAAUAUGGCUGCCUAAACAUGAGCUGAAUAAGACAAAAACAGAAAUGUAUACUUGGAUGGGGAAAAAAAUCCAUGAGGCUUCCAACUGACACAAAGAAAUACAAGCAACUAAGGACUAGCAAAGUGGAGAAAACUUCUUCUUUUUCUAACACUAAGUGAACUAACACAUAUAGUAGGUUUGUACAUUGUAUUUGAGUGUCCAUUUGGUAGAUCCAAUUCAUCACAGUAGGUGUGGAAGUGUAUGCCUAUUAUUAUUCAAUGCCAAAUGCCUGAUAAUAUGUGUAUCUGAAUAACAUUAUACAGGCAGAGCAGGAUAAAUGUACACAUUUAGAAAUAUAUAUCAUGCCCACUAUAUUGUAUAUAAUUAUCCUUAUAAUAUGUAUUUUAAUAUAAAUUAAUGAAUAAAAGAUGAUAUGAAUUUGAAAGAAAGCAAAGAGGGGUAUAUGGGAAAAUCUAGAGGAAGCAACAGGAACGGGAAAAUGUUGCAGUUAUAAUCUCAAAAACUAAAAGGAAUUAAAAAGCAAAUGAAAUAUAUAGAUAUAGAUAUUCGUGUGUGAAACAGGGAGCUUAAAUAUUAUAAACAAGUUGCUUGGUGAUUUAGGUAUAUCUAUUUAUAUUUUGAGCCUAGACAAGCAUGUAGAGCAAGCUGCUAGAUCUCCGGGAAGAAGACACGAUGCAUGAGAGAGGGCCAAAUUGGGCUGAGAUCUCUUACCAUCUACAAUCAGAUCCUGGAAAUAGCGUGUGACUUAGAGGUUCUGAAAGCACUGCUUUGUCUACUGUGGGGUUCUUAGAAAAGCACUGGAAGCCUUCUAUUCCAGAUGAUUCAGAAUUACACCAUGAACCACAUCCUAACUGACCAAUACAAAAUAGUACGUGUAACAGGUUUGUACAUUUUAUUUGGGGGUCUUUUUUUGGACAUCCAAUUCAACACUCAGCUUGAUCCAAUCAGUCUGGUAUAUGAAUACUAUUCAUAUUUUAAAAUUCUCACUGGGGGCAUGAGUCAUGGAUACAUUUUUCAUAUUGGCUUUUCUAGAGUAACUGGCCCCUUUGGGAAGAAAGAACACUGAUUGCUAGAAAUUGGACCUAUAUGUAUGCUCGACAUAAGAUAAUUAUUGUAUAACCAUGAUUUUUAUUUUUUAUUCCCUAAAAUUAAGAUAAAAAUCUGCAUUUUAGUUGUAUUGUACUGUCUGUAAUUACAUUACUAUAAAAUAUCUGAUAUUGAAAUUUAUGACUUAUUAAUGGUACUGCUUUUGAAAGCUAUAUAUUGGUAGAUAAUCACAUAAUUGAUUAGUUUUUAAUAGACAGCACUUCAUUUUAAAUCAUUAGUUUUAGCAUUUUAUUUUAGAAUAUAAAAAGUUAAUGGUUUCAAAAUUCUUAUAUAUUACAUAAAUGACAAGCAAUGAUAAGGUCACCUGGUUUAAUUUGCUAUUGGUUUCACUUUACAAUGAUUUGUUGUAGGUUAAUGACUGAUAGAAAAGGUCUACAUUUUGCAAUUUAUGUCAAUUUGAGAUUUACUGCAUAAAACAAUUUUACAUUGUAAUAUUAUGUUUGAGUCUAGAACUGUUAUUAUGUACUCAUAUAGAUAUAAUUUUAAUUCAGAAUGGACCUGGUUUGAAAAACUGUAAGGAUUUUUCAGAGUAUGCAUCGAAUCAAAAGCCAUCUUGAAAUUUCUUUUAGACACCUAACAUUUAAGAAAAAUAAAACAUCUUGGAAAUAAAAAUCAAAGGAGAAGUAUGUUAAUAAAUAUAUGGAGUUACUGAGUAUAACAAAUAGAAAGUUAAAAUCAAUAAUUAAUAAGAAGAAUAUAUGACACACAAGCCAUUUUUCCAUUUAUAAAACAUCUAAGUGCUUUAAUUUUCUAGAUAUUUUUGAAGAUAUUUUGAUAAUUUUGAUAUUUUGAAGACACUAACAUAUAAAAUAGAGAAAUGAAAAUUUGCUGCUUUUGAGGAGGUCUGACUCCAGUGGUCAAUAAGUAGAGAUGGGGUUAUUGGAGGAAUGGAUUAAAUCUAAUUGAGUUAUUUGCCAAAGGAACCCCACAGAAACCCGAACAACUCAGGCUAUUGUCAAGGUUAUUGAUGGCUCUCCCCAAACUCAAGGUAAGACCAGAUUCCUGAAGAAAUCACCAAUGUGAAUUAGGAGAAAUCAAUCUGGUGCAUAACUAGAGCCUGCACAUCUGAGCAGUUCAUGCCACUGAAGUUUAUUGUACAUGCUACCAGAGAAGACAGGUAAACACUACGACAGAGACAAAUCAUUUAUUCUACACUGAUAACUUGACAGCAUGAUACCAUUAAGGAGUUUUUAUCCAACAACAUGGCUGCCCUGGCAAGAAGUCACUUCAAAGACCUUCUAGGUCUGUGUGAUCUGGCUGGAAUACAGACACACUGUUAAUCCCUGGAGACAGGAUCUCUGGGUUCAAGGCAAGCCUAGUAUAGAGCAAGCUUUAGGGAAUGAGAAUCUUAGGUCCAGGCUUGGUGACUUUUAAUCCAAGCUCUCAGGAGACAGAAGGAUGCAGGUCUCUGAGUGCUAGUCCAUAAGUUCUUUUGUUUAGUCAGUUGAGUUCAGUGUAGUGAAAUCCUUUUCUGUCAGUCAGCUGGGAGUCAGUAGAGUUAAGUCCUGUGCAGUGCUGUUUAGUUCGUUUUUCAGUUCAGCGCAGAUCAGCAGGGGCGGUUGAAGCCAAAGAAUAGGGAAUCAGAAAAUUUGAGCAAAUUGCUAGUUAGUUUAAGGACAAGCAGAACCAUUCAGUGAGAAGCUGAGAGAAGCUAGAUUGAAUCAGUCAACUUGAAGAGAAGUUUGAGCCACAAGGGCUGAGUUGAACCAACCAGAGUUUAGAAAGACCUAGAAAGAGUGAGCUCAUCCAGCAGUAAGCCUCUGAGAUGACAAUUGCAGCAGACGAAUAAGUUGCUUCUACAGGAUACACUCAUCUAAUUUUGGCACUAAUGUGUGGGUAAUCGAAGAUUAUCUGGUUGGAUUUAAGACCUACUCCAUGAGAACACUUACCUGACACUGCUGUAGUGGCAGAGAAUCUGGGCUAGUUAGACCACGGACAUAAGGGAACACCAAAUACUGCUAUUCUGCUAAAUGAAUAUAAUAAUUAAAUGACAGCUACUGGCAUCCUGCUCCAUCUAAAUCAGUAUUUCACUAGCCAUCAUCAGAAAAUGUCUCUCCUGCAGUGUAAGGGAACUAAUACCAAGACGCAAGACUCCCAACUGGACAAUUGGCAAAGAAUGAGGGCUUGAAACACUCAGUCCAAAAUCCGAUGUAUGCAUCAACCCUCCCUCACCUUCCCAUUGUUCAUGGUACUAAGGGCAAAAUGCAAAGGAAGGAUUGUAAGAGCCACAGAGGCUGGAUGAUACCCAGGAGAAAGUGUCUUCCAGACACAACAGGACUAAGGUACAUAUUAGCUCACGAACAUGGUGACAGCAAGUAUAGUGCCUCCACAUGCCAAACUAGACAGAACUCCAGAUCACAGAUGUGGAAGAAGACAGAAGUGCCCAUCCUGAACUGAGAAGUUGUUUCCAAUUAACAAAGGAAAAAUUAGGGAAUCCCACUUGGUAUAAAAACAACCUUAAAGGCAGGCUCCACGUCAACACAAAAGGAACUCAGUGGGACAUUGUUUAACCUUAGUAGUCUUUGUCUGGAUAUUAUGUUUUCUAAUUUUAUUUUUGAUAGGCUUUAGGUGUGUGUUUUUCUUUUCCUUCUUUUCUUCUUCUUCUUCUUUUUUUUUUUGCCUUGUUACAUUGUUCAUUUUGUUUUAUCCUCCUUUGUUUGCAUUUUAUUGGCCUGUCAGUUUCCUGAAGUGAGAGAGGAAGAAGGUGUGGUCUAGGAAGAACAAGAGCAUAGGAAGAAAUGAAGGAAAGGAAACAAUGAUCAGAAUAUACUUUAUAAAAAUAACUUUAUUUUUAAGUUCUAAAUAAAAGUAAGGCCAGAUGCAUACUACCCAUUGUGUCUGAUAGGUUAGUUAAAAAAUCAUAAAUCUGGAACAGUGUUAACUUCAUUAUCAUAAAGUUUCUAGUUUUCCAAAUAAAAGGAUUGGUAAAUAAGGGCUUUGGUUUAUUUGCUUGUUUGAUUGUUGGUGUUUGUUUUAAUGAUGGCUGUGAUGGCUAAUCAUGGUUGCCAAGGGAUACCUGAAAAAACCAAACACCAAGUAAUUGUCUCCAUGUAAGCAUAUUUUCUUGAUUCCUAAAGGAUGCAGAAGGACCCAGCCCAUUGUCAGUGCUGUUCUCCCUGGGAAGGGUAGAUCAUGGCUGUAUCAGAAGCAGAACUGUGACAGCCAGGAAAGCAUGUCUGUGAGUAACAUCGCUCUGUUGUCUCUGCUUCAGUCAUGCUGCCAGGUUCUUGUCCUGAAUUCCUGCCUUAGCAUCCAUCUGCAACGGGCUAUAAUCAAUAAAGCAGACAAAUUCUUUUAUUCCCAAGUUAUUUUCCAUCCAUGCUCUAUCAUAGAAGUAGAAAAACAAGCCAAGAUAACAACAUAUACACAGUUAACAUUUAAUAUGUUCUCCUUAUAACUAAUUCAUUGAAUCAGAGGACAAACAUCUUUCCUCAGCACUGAAUCAGGACAAGCAUCCUUAAUAAUUAAUUGGCUGGAUUGAUAGAUAAAGGCAAAGCUAAAAUUUUACUGUUACUAUUUUUUUUAUUAUUAUAAAGGCUUGGAUUCAUAUUUGGUGCUAUUGGACAGUCAUAAAUAUUGUAAAAGAUGUAGCUUAAUGGGAGGUUGUCGAUCAUUGAGGGGAGGGAUAUAGUCCCUUCUUAUCACCCAUUUUAUUUCUCAGCCACCAUGAAAGAAAUUAUUUUGUUUUUAUCUGUUGGAAUGUGUCCAAGAAUGAUGAGCAUGAAGAACAGUAUCUUGUGGAACUUUGAGAGAGUGUCCAGGAUAAGAGGCAAGAGGGCCUUUUACCUGAAGUGCAUUUUGUUCCCUUGAGAGCUCUUGGAUGUUAUUUCAUGCUUCUUGGGUCUAUAAAAUAUAUUUAUUCUUAUUCAAUGUUUGAACAUAGCUAUAGAACACAAUCUGCUGGAAAACUACUGUUUUUGGGGUACACUGAACCUAGACAUGGCCGCCUGACCUUCUCUGAUGCCUCCCUGGGUACAGUCUAUAGUAUUUGCCAUGGAAAUGUGUUAAAACUGUUAUAUUCUGAGAAGUUCUGGGAAAGGGCUCCUCUGUUAAUAUUUAGUAUGUGCUUACUGGAGGAAUUUUUUUUCAUGUUUUUCCGAUAUUUCUCUAAUCAUGUUUUUUGAAUUCAGAUAAUCUUCCUUGGAUCAUUGCUUUUUGUAAUAUUUUUAUAUAAACAUACAAUGAAACUGAAGUAAAAUGGUCUACACCAUUAGAGUGUAUUCCACCCCAUUCUUUUUUUUUUAAUCUUCAUUAACUUGAGUAUUUCUUAUUUACAUUUCGAUUAUUAUUCCCCUUCCCGGUUUCUGGGCCAACAUCCCCCUAACCUUCCUCCAUCUCCUCUUCUAUAUGGGCUUCCCCUCUCCAUCCUCCCCCCAUUACCACCCUCCCCCCAACAAUCCUGUUCACUGGGAGUUCAGUCUUGGCAGGACCAAGGGCUUCCCCUUCCACUGGUUCUCUUACUAGGCUAUUCAUUGCUACCUAUGAGGUUGUAGCCCAGGGUCAGUCCAUGUAUAGUCUUUGGGUAGUGGCUUAGUUCCUGGAAGCUCUGGUUGGUUGGCAUUGUUGUUCAUAUGAGGUCUCAAGCCCCUUCAAGCUCUUCCAGACCUUUCUCUCAUUCCUUCAACGGGGUUCCUGAUCUCAGUUCAGUGGAUUGCUUCUGACAUUCGCCUAUGUAUUUGCUGUAUUCUGGCUGUGUCUCCCAGGAGAGAUCUACAUCCAGUUCCUGUCAGCCUGCACUUCUUUGCUUCAUCCAUCUUAUCUAAUUGGGUGGCUGUAUAUGCAUGGGCCACAUGUGGGGCAGACUCUGAAUGUCCAUCCCAUUCUUUAAGGUUCUCAUAUCUCAGAUUUUAUCGGUAUAUCUGUAGUUCAAUAAAAAUCGACAUUAACCAUACCAUGGUUAGGGGGAUGUUGGCAAACCAUGAUACGCUCUUUUACUAUGGGCCCUGAACAUUGAAAGGAGCAACCCAUGGUCCAAAGACUAAAAACAAAACCAAGCAAAACAAAUAAACCACUUCCUCUCAAAAAUGUUCUAUGAUUCUUUCAGUUAUUUUGUUACAGUAUUGGAAGAUUGGCUUGUAAAGGAAUUUCAAUCCUACAACAUGGCUUCUCUGGCAAAGGAUCAUAUCCAAAAAAUUCUAGGUUUGUGUGAUCCAGCUGAAAUGAGACACCUUUAAUCCCUUUGGCUGAAAUAUAGGCACAUCCUUAGUACUUACCUUUAACUCCAAACAGUGAAGGUUAAAAUUAGUUUGCAGAAGGAAGCAGCCAUGUUUGAAAGAGAUGUCUAAUUGAGGUAUAGACAAAAUGACUAAUCAGAGAAAGAUUUGACAGAAUGAGAGAUAGGAUGUAUCCAAGUUUCAGGAAGACAGACAGGAAAGAAAGGCUACUUAAGAGCACUUCAUAGUUGUCAGGACUAGAGGGCAAUUCAGUGAAGGCAGUUCAGUUGAGUUCAGGUGAUACAGUGGAGAUUAGUUAAGUUCCAUUCAGUUAGAGUUCAGUUCACAGAAUUCAAAAGCAGUUAUUUCAAGCAGAGCAAUUCAGUUAGAAGCCAAGAAAAGCCAGUUUGCAUCAGCCAGCUCUGAGAGGAGUUUGGGCUAGUACAGCUAAGUUGAAUCUUCCAGCCAGACUUCAGAAAGAGCUAGAGAAGGUGCUCUGAUUUAACAAUAAACCUUCAAGAUGACAACUAGUCUAGUGGAUAAAAGUUACAUUUACACCUGGAUACAAUUCCAUCAUUUAUGAAAAUACAGUACAGUUUAAAUGGAAUAAUUUAUUAGAUUACCCAUUUAAAGAAUUCAAUUUUGUGUUCAUUGUUUUCCCCUCUUAGUUCUUUCUUGCUGUAGUCAUUCCUCAUAAAUUUUAUUUCAUUUUUUUUGUAACAGAGUAACAGGUAGACCUAAAAGUAGAAAUGAAAUAAUAUGUAUUCUGAGUCUAACUCUGUGACUGCUGGAUUGAUGAUCUUAAAAUAUGUGAUGGACACAUGCAAUCUUCAUUCUUAAAUUCACAAUCUUCUAAGUGAAGUAUUAGAAGGCUUUGAGUUCUUGCAAAUGACAAACAUGUUACCUGGUUUUUGCACAGCUUCAGAUAUUUAGAAAACUAGAAUAAAGAACUCUAGUUGAGUUUAAGACUAAACAAAAGCCCGGUAGGUAAGAAAAAGAAAGAUUUUUUCAUGUCGUUGAAUGACCCCGAAAGUCAGUUCUAAGGUCAGAAGAGGAUUUACUGGGAAGUAAGUACACCUUACUCUUCUGCCCAGAACUAACUCCUUUUGAACAGGCAUCACGAUAAUUGUAAAAGUAAACCAGAAUAUAACCUCCAUAACUGACUAUUUUCCUUAUUUUCUUGAGGAAUAAAUUUUGAAGGAUAUACAUUUUUAAUUUCUUUCUUGCCAUGGAAGCUGUCAAACACCCUAUGAUCUAUGUCUGUUCAAUGAGUUAUUAGCAGAAAAUUUUAUUAAUAUUGGGGGUAGACUCUCCUGAGAAUUAGGGUCAGUGUCACUGACAUUACUCUUCUUUUUCCUGUCUAUGGAAAGCUGACUGGGAGCAAAGCAGCAUUUCUGAAUACAUUGCUCUAACAAUGUGAAUCCAACAUCAAGAAAAACCCCAACCUAACCCUUCCUGGCCAAUAGCUACCUCUCUUCAGAGAGUGCGUGUGAUAAAAUAUUUAUUAAUGACAAUUAUGAACUGAGUGGUUUUUACUUAUUGUUGAACAAAUAUGUAAAUUCAUAUCAUUCUUGCAUUACAAUUGGCAGUUUAUUAGCCAAUAUCACCACAGAUAAUGUUAAUCUCUAUAUUUUAUUAUGAAAACAAAGAAGCCAUGGAGAGAAAAAGCUUACUUUUCAAGUGCGUGGAUGGAUUUAAGAAACCAGUGGAAAUGGUUUAUAACAGAUAUUUGCAGCCCCAUUGAGUUUAGUGCCUCAUUUCAACACUGUUAGCAGCAGUGAGAACAGCAAGUGUAACCACUCAGUGACUAUUAUUGGUUCUUGCAUUCCUAGGGAUCCAAGUGAAAAUCUCAGUAUCUGGAGUAUCAAACAAUAUGAAAAUUAGAAAACACAAUAGUAGAAUAGUACACAUUUAAAUGCUUUUAUUUGUAUGACAGAGACAUGGAAAUUGUCACAAUAUGUCUUAAAGAGCCUGUAUAUGCAUCAGUGGUUGCCAAAGUUACAGUCCCUUAAACCACCAACAUUCUUCAGGGAAGGCACUUACAUACUUUUGCGUUGGAUAACCUUCCUUGUGUCUUUUAAUCUCUUACUUUCUUGAAGUGCUUCAACUUCUUUUUUACUUUCUUGCCAAUCUUGCUCCCUUACUCUUGUGGUUUGUUUUGUUUGUUUGUCUUUUUGUUAUAAAUUAUAGAGAUUAGCACUCCUGCAAGCGAAGAGUUUAAUAUUGAAUUAACUUCAUGUAGCCACCCUCAGGCAAGAAGCCCACAUGACUUCAAAUGAGACAAUAAGUGAGAUUUGGAAUGUUAACACUUGUAUACUCACAUUAGCAUAUUGAUAUGCUAAAACAAUAUGACAAUUGUAUUUCAUUAAUCAAUUUCUCACCAGAGAUUUAGAGAUCUUAUAUGUUUGAAUUCAUGCAUUUUUGGCAUUAUAUGUAAAAAAAGUCAGUUAUGCUGUGCAGCAAUGGUUCUAAAAGAGCAAAUGGAGGUUUAUGUUUGAACUUCAAAUUCAUAAAAGUGUUAUAUGAUUUGAAGCAUAUAAAUUUAAGCAGCUAAACUUGGUAUAUAUUCUUAAGUUCUGUAUUUUAUAUUAAUUUUAUUUCUCUUAUUCUUUAUACAGCAUUUAUGUAAUCAUACUUUAUAUCAAGACAAUUUUUAAACAUAGAACAUAUAUACUAUUCAUUGAAACAUAAUCAUAGUAAAUAUUUUCUAAAAUAUUUUUUUCUUUAAUUUGUUCUAUAUUCUAAAUUCUCUUGAUCAUUGAACUCCUCAGAAAUGUGUUAUUUCAGGAACCUGAAUACACGUAUAAAUUCGUCACAUACGUAAACAGAGAAAUACAUUGACCUAGAUUGAAAGCUUGAAAUUUAUCUGUGUAACAAAAGGCACAGAGGUUCUGUUCAUCAGUAUUAUUAAGACUUUUUUUUCAGUCUAGACAAAGCAGGGUUCUACAGUCUUUUAUGCAGUUUAUUAAGGUAUCUAACUUCACAAUUGCACACACAAAAACAAUUUUUAAAGGUGAAAAAGAGAUAAUUAAAGAAAGCAAUGAUCACUUAAUUUAUUACAUAUGAAACAUACAAAAACACAUAUGUACUAUACAUAUACACAUACACAUCUACAUCAUACACACACACACACACACACACACACACAUAUAUAUAUAUAUAUAUAUAUAUACAUACACAUAUAAGGGGAAGUCAGAAUUUGUUCAGAGUUAAACACUAGGUUCAAAAUUGCAUGCAUGAGAAGGAGAAUAUUGGAGCAUAUCAAAAGGAGUGACUCACAGGAAGUAAAAAACUUCACCCAAAUUCUUUACUAUCAUUCUUUUUUGGUCUAUUGAUCUUUCCUGGAUUUUAUCUGAUUUUAUGAUGAAAUUAUUUACAGUGCUCAGUGGAAAGAAUAAGUGAUUAGAGUUUUACUUAUUUACACCUACAGAUAUUGAAGCAUAUCAAGGAAUAUGUGCAAUUUUUUUCAUACAUUAAGUUAAAAUGAAAGAAUAGAGUUAGUGAAGAAGAGUUACAUAUGAUUUUUAUUCAUUUAUAUGUAAGUCUAGAUAAGGUUGCCUUUUUAUGGUUGAGGUAAAGAUUUUAUUGUGAUUUGGGGGACAAUUCUUCCUAACUUCAAUAUUUUGUACUUAACAGAAGUCUGAAUAUAGUACCAUCUUCUAAUUAUCAAUGCAUAUUAAUUGACUGAAGUCCAACAAUGCAUCCUAUAUUCAGAAUCAAGUGAAAGUAAUGCUUGGGCUUGCUUUUGGACUGUUACAUCUAUCUAUCUAUCUUCUCUCUAGGUCUCUCUAUCCUUGCAUCUAUUACCUAGAUCUCUGCUACUUGUUUUUGAACCAUGGAGUACCUUCAGUCACUUCCUCCAGGUUCCUGCCCUGAGUCCUUCUGUGACUUCUUUCACUGAUGAAGAAACCCACAAACCCAUAAACUAAACCUUCUCAUCCUGGGUAUGGACAAACCCCAAACUCGCCAGGAUCUUCACAGGUACUUUAGGAAACUGUAAUCACUUUUAGUUGAACAGACAUCUAAAUUUUAUUCAAAUAAUUUUCUUGAAAUGAUAAAAAUUUUAGAAUAUUCGAAAUAUCUCAUUACUUAUUGUAAAAAAAUUAUUUGAUUAUCUUUUUAUAUAACUAAUUCUUGAUAACUUUUAAAACCACGUCUAGACAUGUCAAUCAAGCUUAUCUCAAACCUGUUUUCCUCGGGCCACUACUUUUUAUUUGUGCAUACAAGCCUUAAUCAUUACAUCUAGUCAAUGGGAGCUAGAUUUAUGAUCUUUAGUCUGGAUCAUUUUGACUCAGCACUGGAGUUCUUUAGCAUUUGUUCUUUUUGUCACUAGAUGUUCUCUGCUUAAAACAUCCAUCUAUUACUUCCGGAAAUAUCUAUAUUUCCUACCAAAGACAACCUAGUGUAGAGUAUAAUGUAUUUGUUUUAUUUAUUUAUUUAUUUAUUUAUUUAAUUUAAUUUAAUUUUGUUGUGAAGUUUAAAUAUUCCUGCUUCAAUCAUGAGAAUACUGGGACUUUAGUUAUGCACCAUCAUACUAAUGCCAAGAAGAUUAUUUGGAAAAGAAGUUGACAGUUAUGUGCUUGCACUGUGUGCUUAUAUGUGUAUGUGUGUAUGUUUGUAUGGUUGAAUGGAUGUGUGUGUGUGUGUGUGUGUGUGUGUUUGUGUGAUUUUAUUAUAUAAAUAUCUUGAGACACAUAAAGUACAUUAGAUUUACUCACAUGCCCAAAAGUCUCUUUCAAGUUAUAAUUUUCUUCCAAAUUUUAACCAUUUGCAUAUUUUUAUAACUUUAUCAAUACAUUAACUUUGACUUAUUAUCUUCAAAUAUGUGGACAUUUAACCUCAGUAGGUGAUGGGUUGUUUUCUAGCUCUUUUGUUUGCUUUUACUUUGCCAAAUUUCAUUUGCUAAAUGUUUCAUGUAAUUUACUUCAAUAAUUUCAAAACAAUGUGUGAUGCUGAAAAAAUAUUGUAUAAUUGUAAAAUAACUGUUAGUGAUCUAGCAUUUAUGAGGUUCUUAGGUUGCAUCCUAGUACCACCACCCAUGCAUAUGCAUACACAUGCACACACACACACAUGCACAUGCAUACACAUGCACACACACAAAUGCAGAUCUCAUUCAUUGUCAGUUUUCCUAUUUUAGAAACUGUAGCAGAACUUUUUUGAUUCAUUUGCAGUUAAAUAUUUACAUAGAGACAUGAAUGUUUACAGGAGCUUAGGCCUUGAUCUUGGACUACCACAAGCUAGUUCACCUAACUCAGCUUUAUUUUUGGUUGUGAGCCUAGCCUUUAACGGCUGAGCCAUCUCUCCAGCCCCUAACUCAGCUUUAUUAUCCUAGCCCACAACCUGCCACAUGGGUACCUCUCUCUCAGUCAGGGUACAUUUAGCCACCUCUAUCUCUUGCUAGCAAACCCCACUGCCUCCGAUUCUUCCUAAAUUCCCUCCUUCCCUUCCCUGCCUUACUAUUGACCACCAGAUAUUUAUUAAGCCAAUGAGUAGGUGAGAGAGGAAGAGUGUUUACAAUAUACUGCAGCAGAUGAUGAUCCAUAAAACUAACAAUACCAGAAUCCAGCCAGUCCUGAGCUCUCUGCCAGUACAGCAAUCAAUACUUGAAUAUACAGAGAAACCAGUCACACAGUGCACCCCAACAGGAAGUUAACUUCAUAGUAUGAACACAAGCACAUAUUAAAUGCAAUCUCUAAAAUUGUAUAACUUUAAUUAUUAAAGCAUUCCAUGUACUCAACUUAGCCUACUGAUGCAUACUGUGAAUAUAUAUGCACCGUUUGAGGCUGGGUGAUCUUAGUUCAAGAUGAUUAUGGGAGACCUAGAAAGACCUAGAAAGAGAACCUUAAACAUAAUGACAUGUAGACAUACAUGCAACAAAAUACGCAUAAUGAACCUAAAGGACAAGACCAAUAAAAUUAUAUUAAAUAUAUAGAAUUGUAAAGAUUAAUAAAUUAGCUUAAAGACAUUAAAUUUUGUUUUUUCUCACUAUAAAGGAGAAAAAUAAUUUCAGAAGUAAAUAAUAUAAUCAUAUAUAUGAAAAAAGUCACUAGUAAUUGUAUAUAAAGAUGACUAUUAGUUUAUAAAAUAUUUGUUUAUAAAAUAACAUUGACAGCUAAUCUAAUUAUGUAGUUCUAGAACAUAUUAAAGAUAACAGAAUUGUAAAAAUAUUCAACUUCAUUAAGGGAAUGCAUUGAAAAUGUAUAUUGAGGUAUGAUUUCACACAUGGUAAAAAGGGCAAAAUCAAACACAUUAUUUGUUUUUAAGUAUGAGGUGAUUCUAUUUUUAAAUCAAGUUUUUCAGCAUCUGUGAUUUAUUAUCUUAUAACUUUUUUUGAAUUUUGAAUACCAAGCCUCAUCUGGGCCAUUCUCACAGAGGGUUAUCACUCUAAUAUUGAUAUUUUAUCUAUAGCUAUUUGAUAGCUGUUGAGGAAGAAACAUUCAGUCUUUUGGAAGUUCAAAAAUAUUUUCAAAGACAAAAACCUUUCCAUAAAAUAGAAAAUGUUAGACUCCCUUCUCUUAUCCAUGCACCACCCAUCUUCCCUGAAUGCUGAGUUCUCUGGGGCACCACAGCUGCCUGAGCUACUUGCUAACCCCCAUGGUAUCCCACCACCUUUCCAACCGCCUUUAUCAGACCUGAAGAUCCAGAAGCAUACAGGUUAGACUCCCUCCCACACCCAUUUUCCCUCCGGAAGGAGUUUUCAUGGAAAACCCUUGCUGCCCUGAGCAACCUGCUAGACACCCACUCUCUUAACACCUCUUAUCCCAACUUCCUCAGACCUGCUGAUCUGGAACCAUACAGCACAAGGAUAUGCUUCAGUGGCCUGAUACACUAGGAUCAUUGAGGUUAAGGCUCCUCCCAAUAUCUCCUACUAUAGGAGCAUCCAGGAACUAAAGCCACGCAGGUGGCUAAAGGUGCUUGAAUGAAUCUGGUCAAUGAAAGUCGGGACAAUAUUACUAUGUUAGCAUACAACUAUCUUACCCAAGCCCCGGAAGUCCUAGCACAACUGAAGCACAGGAAAAUGACCUUAAAUCUAGUUUCAUUAAGCUUUUAAAGAGGAAAUGAAUAAACCCCUUAAAAAAAUACAGAAAUUUGCAAACUGGUAGAGGCCUUUAAAGAGGAAACAAAUCUCUUAAAGAAAUACAGGAAACUAUAAUGAAAACAGAUUGAGGAAAUAAAUAAAAUUGUUCAAAAAUUAAAAAUGGAACAGAAACAACAACAACAAAAGAAAAACAUAAACUGAGGGUAUCCAGGAGCUGGGAAACCGAGGGAACAGAACAGGAAAACAGAUGCAAGCAUCAUCAACAGCAUACAAUACAUCGGAGAGAGAAUCUCAGGCAUAGAAGGUACAAUAGAAGGAAUUCAUACAUAAACCAAAGAAAAUGUCAAAUCUGAAAAAUUCAUGACACAAAACAUCGGGACAUCUGGGAUUCCUUGAAAAGAGCUAACCUACGAAUGAUAGGAAUAGAAGAUAAAGGGUUAGAGCUCCUGGUCUGUGACCCUGCUACCUGUAUAGUAGAGGACUGUUACUGUUGGCCAGAGGAAACACAGGGGAAUCCCAAAAUACCAAGGGUGUUGCCAAGGUUAUAUGUUGUUUCCUACUAAAUGACAAUAAGGCCACCUUGCUGAACUAACACCACCAGAACUCAUUGAAGAGGGAAAGCUUGAAAUGGUGCCUGAUGACAGAGAUAGUGCCUUCUAUAGUCACCAUACUGGCAAAUGUUCUUGGUAUGGUAGGUUUCUGUGUGCUACUAAAGGAGAAACAUGAACACUAAGCCAACUACAAACCCUAGAAUUUAUAAUAGUGUCCUGUCUGCAGCAUAUAUUAGAGUAGGUCCCCCUCUCAAGGCCUGUCCCCACCCAAGUACUUCAAGUCUCUGCAAGGCUAGCUGCUUCCUCUCUGACUGAAGCCAGACAAGUCAGCCCAGGUAGAAGAACAUGUCAGCAUAGAGCUUUAGGGAUAGUCUCUUAUUUCAGUCAUCAGGAACCCACAUAAUGACCAUGCUGCACAUUGGCUACAUAUGCAUGUGCAGACUGAGGUCCAGCCCAUGUAGGUUCUUUGGUUGGUGGUACAGACUUUGAGAUCUCCAAAGGUUUAAGUUAGUUGACUCUGUUGCUCUUCUUGUGAAGUUCCUAUUCCUUUUGGGGCGUGCAUUUCUUCCUCUUAUUCUUCAGUAAGAGUUGUCAAGCUCUACCCACUGUUUGUCUGUGGGUGUCUAUCUCUUUCUGAAUCAGCUUCUGGGUGGAGCCUCUCAGAGAACAACAUGCUCCUGUCUGCAAGCAUAACAAAAUAUUAAUAAAGUAAGGAAUUGGUGCUUGCCAAUUAGAUAAGUUUCAAGUUAGGCCAGUUGUUUGUUGGCCAUUCCCUUGGUCUUUGUUCCCUCCCCACUGCCUGUAUUUCUUGUAGACAGGAUAAAUUUUGGUUGAAAGUUUUGAGGGUUGGUUAGUGUCUCUAAUGCUAUACAAGGGUCCUUGCCUAACUAUAGUGGACGGCUUCUUCAGGAUCUAUAUUACCAAUGUAGUGAGUCACAGCUAAAUUUAUUGAUUCUUUGGCACAUCUUCUAGCCCAGGUCUUCCUGGUUAUGUGGAAGGAUUAUAUGAGGGAGUGAAUGGGAAGAAGGCAGUAAUCAGUAUGUAAAAUGUAUAAGUUUAAAAAUAGAGUUAAGAUAAAAAUAUGAUACUAUUUUGGUGGGACAGAACUUAUGGGAGUAACCAUCAACUAAUCAAUUUGUUUUGAGGGUCAUCCAUAAGACUGAACCCAUACUUGAGGCUAACUGGGUAAUCAAGUAUCUGAGAAUGCAUCAUCCAGGGACCUAGGGGAAAACCAAACCCUACUGUACAAAAUUAAUAAAUGUAUUAAUUCUGUACUCAUGCAUUAGUGUUUUGCUCAGCCAUCAUCAGUGAAGCUUUCUACUUGAACAAAAAUACAGAGAUACACAGCCAAAUAAUAAGCAGAAAAUAUGACAUCUCAAAGCACUCAAACCUGAAAGGGAUGUGUUCAUCCUAUCCCCCUUCUAAGGUCUUGCAGAAGAGAAGGCAGAAGAAGUAUAAGAUUCAGAGGCAUAGAAGACACCAAAUAAACAAGACCAUCUAAAUACAACACAACUAAUAAAAAUAUAAUUCACAGGGAUUGAGGCCACUUGAACAAGGCUCUCAGAGGUCAACAUCGUUUGGGACCCUAGAGAUGAAAGGAGAAGUCAACAUGUUCCAUUCCCAGUACAUGCACUAUCUCUGAUCGAAAACUAUUUAAAAAUGCAAAAUUUCCUUCUUCAAGGGACUGCUCUUAAGAGUAGUUUGCUCGUCCAGAAGUAAAUGGCAAACAGAAAGCAUACUUAGUAGCAUUAGAUUCUUUGUCUUACAAGGUCAUGUCAGGGUUUUUGGUUUGGUUUGGUUUAGCUUAUUUUAACUUUAUUUUGUUGUAUUUUACUUCUCUAUUAUUUACUCUGCAGGUUUUGUGUAAUUGCUGUGGUUUCUGGUUUUGUGUUCAAAUGGGAUUCUGAUAUGUGUAAACAAGUGUGCCUUUGCAUCUAUAUCUGUCUUGUGUCUUUUCCUAGGCUGUCUUCCUCUGCUCUGCUUGUUCUAUUCUAAUUUGUUUUCUUCCUUUACAAUCUUAUUAUAUUUUAUCACAUUUUAUUUUACUAUUAUCCCCUAGAUGCCUGUUUGUUUUCCAAUGAAAUACAGCCAAGGAAUGCAUCCAGAUGGGAGGGAGGAUAUGAGGAACUGGGAGGAACAGAGAUAGAGAAACAGACAAUGUAGACAAUGCUGUAAUUAGAAUAUUUUAUAUGAAAAUAAAAUCUCCUUUUCACAGAAAAUAAAAAUGUAACAACAAACAAAAUCAACACCAAACAGUUGGAGUUUUGCCAAGUUCCAGAUAAGUAAAAUCAAUUGAAAUAACUGAGGGAGAAAAAAUGGACUAUAUUUCCUGGGGAUACGGUUACUGCUGAUGUCCGGGUUGUUUGCAAGGUUUUUAAAUAUUUGAAUAAAAACCUGUUUAAAUGAUCUGGAGAGCAAAUGAAUUAAUGUGAUAAAAAUCUUAAAGUAAAUUGGAGCUUUCACGAUCAAGUUUAUUCAAGACAGCACAAGUGGAAAAUUAUUUAAUGGCUUUUCAUGUCCAAUGAUUCAAAGAAAACAAAUUAUUUCAAUUUAGGACUACAAAGUCAACCAUUUAUUUAAAUACAGCCAGUUUUAUUAAAAAUGCAAGUUACACGGUCUGAUAAAAAAAAGCAAUCAUAAUGGUUUCAGCAUAUUUACACCAGAAAGAGUCCACAUUGGAUUCUUUUCUCAAAUAUGGUGGAACAUUCUAGUAUUUGCAGUUAUCAAAGAGGUAUAUUACUGGAUAUAUACCUAACACUUAAGCAUAAUAAAAUAAAUCCUUAUCUAUUUUUGUCAAUAUAAUUCUAUAGCAUUUUUGAAAUGCGAGACAAAAAUGAUAUUUUCUGCUUUUUAUAAAAUAAAUCUAAGAAUAAAUAAGAGUAACAUUAUUUGAUAUGAAUGUAGAAGUCUGAGGUUCUGUUUCUCAGGAAAAAGAGAAAGAAUUGUGAUGUCAAAUACACAGAGCCAUUUACAGCUUAGUGUAGGCUACAUAGUGAAAUCUGGCCUCACAGAAGAAAGGAAAGAAGGAAGAAAGGAGAGAGGAAAGAAAGAAGGAAAAGAAGUCCAGAUGAAAAAUAACAUGUGACACAUGUCUAUCUGCAUCUGGGUGAUCUUGGGCAAUAAAACUUUUUAAACUUCUACUCUUUUAGUACAAAUUUCAUGAUUAUAUUUUUCUUUACAGCUAAAUAGUAUUCCAUCACCUCCACACAAAUACACACACGCAAAAAGACACACACACACACACACACACACACACACACACACACCACAUGAAUAAUGUAGAAAUGUAAAAAACCAUGGAAUAAAAGGCUAUAAAUUUGACUAGAUAAAGAUAUAGAUAUACAGAUGCACACACAUAUAUAUGAAUAAUGUAUAAAUGUUGAUAAAUGUAGAAAAAGGCUAUUAGUUUGACUAGAUAUAGAUAGAAAUAGAGAUAUAGAUAGAUAUAGAUAUAUAGAUAUAGAUUAGAUAAAGAUAGAUAUAGAUAUACAUACAGACACACACAUAUAUGAAUAAUGUAUAUAUGUUGAUAAAUGUAGAAUAAAAGGCUAUUAAUUUAACAGUGACAGUGAAUGGACACGGAAUGAGGGAGGGGUCUAGAGAGGGUAUGGGGUUCGGAAAGGGAAGAAGAAAGUGAAAAGUGUUGUAAUCACAUUUUGAUGAACAAUAUAUUUAGAAAUGAAAAAGAAGAAAGAAAAAAGAAAGUAGAGGGAUGUUCAAACAACAUACAGGUAGCAGUGCAGAGGAAGGGUGAACUUGGACCAUCCGAUGUACAAGGUGGCUCAGCUGCCCAGGAAUGGCAGUCUUUUUCACAUCGUGUCUGUACGUGUUCCUUUUCAGGUAGGCUUUUCUCUGUGAUAUACCCAUGUCUUUGUGCUCAGUUUCCUAUGUUUGCAGUAAUGGCGCAUAGAUGGCACAGAGUAGCCUCCUGGACAGUCUCUACAACCUGACCCUUUAACUCUGAGAGCUACAGCUUAGACUUACAUUUCCUCCCCCAUAUUCCUGUGGCAGGACAUGGACAGCCUGUUGAAUCCUGUCCCAUAGCACAUCACUAACCAUUGGCACCUGCUGUGAUGCUGUGGAGUCUCCUUUCAGAAAAAGCCCCAAACUCCCUUUAUCGGAAUCUAUCAGGGAGGCCGAUGCUGGUGUCUUAACAAAUCCACCUGCAUGUCUGGCAGAAAAGAAAUUUCUGGAAAGCUGAGAACUUUUUGCUAGUUCUCAUAAAGUAAAAGGAAUAGAGUAUAAAUAUAAGAUAAUAGAAAUAAAUAAGAUCGUUAAAGACACAUAGAUUGGCAGUUACAGUAACCCAGAUCGAAGAUGGUUCAAUUAAAAGACAAAUUAAGGUGUUGGAAUGACGGCUGAGCGAUUAGGAACAUACAUUGAAAUUGCAGAGUUAUUAAGUUUACUCUCAAGCAGCCACAUCAGAUAAGUCACAAUUGUCUUACUCCCACUUCUAAGAUACCUCUACAAGCAUCAGUGGGCAUACAGGCACAUGCAGGGACACACAUAUUCACAUAAAGAAUAUAAGUAAAUACAUACUUUCUUGAUGACAGACUAAAUAAAAUAGCCAAAAAUUUACUGAUGAAAGUAUACUUGAAAGACAGUCACUUAAAAUAUAAAGAUAAAGUUAGGAAGAAUAUUGGACUGAAUAUCCAUCAUGAACGGCUAAUUUAAAAGCUGCUAGUGUACAAGUAUCAAGUUUUUCACAUUGUCUCAUUCAUCACCGUUGUCAUCGUCUUCACUUGUGUGUGUGUGUGUGUGUGUGUGUGUGUGUGUGUGUGCUUGCAUGCACUAGUGUGCCAUAACACGUAUGGAGAUAGGACAUAUGGAGAUUUGAAGACAGCUUUGCAAAGUUGGUUAUUUAUUUUCACCUUUAUAUAAGUUCAGGGUAUGGAAUUUAGAUUAUCAGGCCAGCAUGGCGAGUUUUUCUAGGCUGAGCCAUUUUCCCGGCCACUACAUUUAUUUCCUUGUAUUCAGUCAGUACUCAGAGCUUUUAACUAAUUUCUUGAACUAUACUUUUGAAUCUGUCGGUGCAUUAAGUGUUUUAACUUUAGAAUUAAAGCAAAAGUAAAUGAGUGAUUUCCAAGGGAAUAUAGUUUUCUUGUCUUGAGUAGGCAGCAAAUUCCAACCCACUUCAACAGUGUUAAGUUGCCAUUCAUAUUUAGUGAAGUUGUAAAAGUCAUAGUGUUGCGAAGACUUCCUAUUUCAAAGAACUUUCCAUUCUUUAAAUAUUUCAUUGUUUUCAACUUUCUGCAAGUUAAAGAUUUAGAAAGUUGGAUGUACUUCAACAUUCUUGCUUUCAACAUGAUUAGUUUUCUCUGCAAGGAAGGACAUUUUGACACUAGGAUAUUUCUUCGCAGUGUGUUUUUAAGGCACUGCUUCUCAGGGGCCCUGCUUGGCUCCAAAGUCCCAGGAAUCCUCCAUGAUUAAUUUGGGCUGAUGAACCAGGACACCAAGGUCCACAGAACUGAGAUAGCUCACAGGGUAACUAGAUUUUCUAUUAUUUUUCUCCUAUUCAUUAAAUUUGACAUUUCUGAGAUGGAGUGUGAUUUACAACCAGUAACUUCACAGGCUAUGGAAAAUGAGAUUCCCGAAAUGUAUUAGAUAUCGUCAGAAAGUGAAGUGAACCUAGAGUGCAUACAGGCCAAGCCAAAUCUUUAUAGAGAAAGUCGUUUUUGGAUUAGAAAGGGCUCAGAUUAUAAUCCUGAACAGCGUAUUCUAUAGUCCUGAUAAUUAGAGUCUGACAGUCAUUUGGAACGGAGGAUUCAUUUUGCGUAUAUGCCUUCCACCUAAAACUGUUCAAAUAGAAAAUGUGGUGAAUUUGUUCUGUGAUGUUGGGUUUUUUCUUCAUUCCCAUGCAGUGCUCUCACUGGCCUUGUCUUGCUGACUGUAGUAUAGUACUUUAUAGGCAAAACUAGGGGAGCAUUUUCAAGUGGGUGCUCUCUCAUUCCUUCUCUUACUGGCCUGUUUGUUUCCUGCUGCACCAAAAUACUGAGUAGCUUCUAUGAUCCCAUUCUAGUAUAAAGCUUGUUAUUUGAUUAUUACAGGAGUCUAGAUUAUAUAUGGAAGUUGAUUAAAGGGAUUGCUUUAAAAUUCCUUCUGUUUACUCAAGUUCAUGCUGUUUGAACUUGAUUCUUUAGAAUUAUGUUAUACAGACAAGUAAUUUAACACUGGAGAGUGUUUUGUUAAAAAAUAUGCCUUUUCAAAGAUGAAGAAUUUAUCAUUAUGAAUGACCUCUUGAUUAUUCUCACAUUAGAAUGACAUCUGUUGGAGUAAGUAGAAAUGAAACUACAUAGGGAAAAAAAUGUAUACAACAAAAGUAUAUUAACAUGAGAGACUUAAAUUAUAUAUUUCAAAAAUAGGAAGGGAGUAAGCUCAGAUAGCCAAAGUAGUAUCUAGAGAAACAACUGCAGAGGAAUCCCAAUAGCUAAUGUCAAAUUAUAUCACAGAAAAAUAAAAAUAGUGCAGCAUUGUAUUGGCACAAAAACAGGCAUGUGGAAGAAUGAAAUAGAGCAACUAAUAUAGAAGUAAGCCUGCAGGGCUACAGGUGUGUUGUUUUUGACAAAGAUGACAAAAAUAAACAAUGAAGAAAACUGUCUUCUACAGAUGAUGCUGAGGAAACUGGAGAAGCACCCACCACCUCUGUAACCUGCAUUGACUUAAUUUGAAAGAUUUAAAGCAUGAAACAUAAAAAGAGAGAAAAUGCAGCAAGCUAUGCCAAGUAUUGAGAAAUGGGAUGGAAAGGGUGUUAAAAGCCUCUGGACAAAAAUGGAAACAAUUAAUUGAAUGAAGUAAUAGCCUAUAUGAUAAGAAAUAAUCUAUGUCAAAAGUCGUUGGGCAGGAUUAAUAAUUAUAACACAUAAAGAACUCAAAAAUCUUAAGGUAAACAACAUAACAUAAUUUACAAUAUGCUGGUAGACUGAAAACCCAGUUCUCAAAAGACAGAGGAGGGAUAGAUGUAAACAUGAAAAAUAUUCAAUCACAAUAGCAAUUAUGAAAAUAAAAAUUAAAACUAUGAAAAUUCUAUUUCACUCUGGACAGAAUAGAAACAUUCCAUUAAAAUAAUGCUGCAGAGAAGGGAAUUUCCACUGUGGGGAAAUAAAGUUGAUCUAGGCACUAUAGAAAUCAUAUGGAGGUUCCUCAUAAAGAUGUAGGGCAGUUACUAUAUAUCCAUUUGAGCAGCUAUGAGAAGAGUAUUGAGAUUAGUAUAAGAGAGAUAAGUACAUAUUCAUGUUUACUGAAGCCAAGUUAUUUGAGUAGCUAAAUUUUAAUAUCAGCUCUGGUGCUUGUCCACAGAAGAAUAGUUAGAAGAAAAUAUGGCUCCUUCAAUCCUUCCUUCCACAAGACUCCCCAAGCUCUGUCUUAUGUUUAGCUCUGGAUCUCUGUAUCUAUUUCUAUCAGAAGCUAAAUGAAGCCACUCAGAGGACAGUUAUGCUAGGUGCCUGUCUGCAAGUAUAAUAAAGUAUCAUUAAUAGUGUCAGGGGUUGACUCUCUCCCAUGGGAUGGGUCUCAAGUUGGGCCAAUGGGGAUGGGGGCUGAAGGGGUCAAAGACACAAGAUCUACAGCCCAUGGGGAUCACAAAACCUGAACUACCAACCGAAAAGCAUGCUUGGGCCCUACACAUAUGUAGAAAAUGUGCAUCAUGGUCUCCAUGUGGGUUUUCUAAGAAGUGGAAUGGGGGCUGACUCUGAUUUUGUUGCCUUCUUUGGAUCACUUUCUCCUAGCUGGGCUGCCUUGUCUGGUCUCAGUGGAAGAAGCUACAUCUAGUGCUGUCCCUACCUGAUAAGCCAGAGUAGGUAGGUACCCAUGUGGAUGCCUUCACUUUUCAGAGGAGACAGGAAAGGGGGAAGGUGCAUGAAAAGGAGACUGGGAGGAGAGCUAAGAGGGGGAACUGCUUUAUGGAUAUAUGUAAAGUGAUUAUGCAAAUAAUCUAAUGAAAGUAAUAGUUAUUGUUUCAAAGUGGUGCAAGACUAGAAAACUACAACGGAGCAAGCUCUUUUGGAGAAUUAGAUCGGGAUUUAAGACAGGCACACUGAGUUCAUUCAAUAAAAGAAAGAAAAGGAAGGAGGAGAAGGCAGAAGGGGGAGAAGGAGGAGUAGGAGGAAGGAGAAGGAUAAACAGAAGGAAGGGGAGAAAAGAGGAGGAAGAAGGAGGAGGAAGAAGAGGAGGAAGGGGAGGAGGAGGAAGGGGAGGAGAGGAGGAGGAGGGAGGGGAAGGAGAAGAAAAGAACAUGUGGCAUUAUUACUUCAGGACAAGUCCUAAAUUCUUGAAUAGUUGGCUAACAAAGAAACAGACUCCAUUUUAUUUGCUUCCCUUCCUUUGUUCUGUUUUGGUUUACUUUGAUAUAUAUUUGCUUAUUGGGAUUUUGUUUUGUUUUGUUUCUCUCUCUCUCUCUCUCUCUCUCUCUCUCUCUCUCUGUGUGUGUGUGUGUGUGUGUGUGUGUGAGAGAGAGAGAGAGAGAGAGAGAGAGAGAGAGAGAGAGAGAGAGAGAGAGAAUAUCAUGUUGUUUGGGAAAGGAAGUGAGGAAGGUUCUUUGAGGAACUGGAGAGAAGAAAGUGUGUUAUGAGACAUACUUUUAUUCACCCCAUAACAGAGAAAAGGACGGAAAGCAAAUACUAUACCAGUGUUUACUUUGGUAAUAUAUUUUACUAAUAUAUUUGUUGGUGUUUGUUUUUUGUUAUUGAAGUUUGUUUAUUAAGCAGAGUGUCACUGAUGGGAAUAUCACCUGAAAACCCACCAUGGGUGAUAAUGCCAGAAAAUCAUCAACAUUGGAGCUUUCUAUGCAGCCUCUAGGCAGCUCAAUAGUCAGAGCUUCCUCCUCCUAUUGUAGUUUGCCUGGUCAGAAUCUCCACCUGUUUAACUACUUUUUAAUGCUAUUGGUUAGGGCUACUAAAGAAUGUUCAGGUAUUCAAUGACUAUCCUCUCCGGAUGGGGAUAUAUGUAUUUUAAGGGAAUGUUGUAAACUGAGAAACAUGCUAAACAAAAGUCAGCGUCUAGUUGGGAAUAUGUGUAUGUAUAUGCAGAUGCCCAGAGACUUCAGAAGAGGUAUCAAAUCCCCUAGAGCUGGGGUUACCUGUGACUGUGACCUGUCUAACAAGACGCUUGAACUCUGCAAGAGCUGCUUGCAUCUUUACUGCUGAGUCAGCUCCUACCACAGAAUUUUAUUUAACUGUAAAAAAAUAAAACUAUGCCGUUUUCCAGGAAAAAAAAUGUGUAAUACUUUAACAAAGUAGGUCGGAGAUACAAAAAGAAGUGUAUAAGUAUUUUCUUAUUCAGAACGCACACACACAUACACACAUAACAACGCGCUCACAGGAAGAAAAUGGUAAAGGCUGGGUAGAAAUUUAAUAAAUGCUAAAUGCUAUACUUGAAAUAAAUUAUUUGAAUUUCAACACUAUAUACAACUAAUAGACUAAUAAAGCAUUGGAAAAUAUAUGAAUAAUUAUAAAACUUAAACAUUAAAUAUUUUCUUCAAAAAGCAUUAAAGGCAUUUUUUAACUUCUUGCUAAUUAAAAUGUUUAAUUUCCUUGUAUUGGAUAUUAAUCAGAGCAUUUUCUAAUUAGACAUUUUUAAUUAUGUGCUAUUUUUUUAGAAACAUAGUUAAGAUGUUAAUGUUUUCAUAAUAAUUAAGUUAUAUUAGGAAGAAGCCAUAGAUUUAAACCACUAAACAUGUGUAUAUAGAAGUCAAGUAUUCACUAUACAUAAGUGACUUUUUUAACACCAGUCUAAAACUAACUUUAAAAGCAGGUAGAAAAGCUUCCAAUUUUAAAUACUAUAAGUAUUUACUAUAAUUUUACAUUAUUAUUAUUUUAUGAGUUUUAAUAUAAAAUUUUACUGACAUUUCUUUCUUUCUUACUUUUAGGGUUAUAUUGUAAGUCUCAACCUUAGUCUUAAUUAGCAGGAGACUACUGUGAAUGAGACGUGAGACUAGAGAUCGAUGCAAUAGCAAGAGGAUAAUUAAUCUAGCAAACUGGGGUCCGCCUACUUCACGAGGAAAGGGGAUCCCAAAAAGUUCGUUAGUACAGUUUUAUACAUUCCAUAAAGGACAGAUUACAGCGAUGGUGAUUCUUUAGGUUGCUACAAACCAGGGCAGCAUUAGGGUCCUUGAAGUACAUUCCUUUAGAUAAGGUGGAGAUAGUCCUGCUGUGAGGACAGGGCUCCCUGGCAACUGGGCAUUCCAGGAACUGCGCCAGACAAGAUUGGUGUACUCCGUCCUGGAUGGGAGGGCUCUCUGAGGCUGGUGAAAAAAUACCAGCUCUCUCAAUAUAAUAAAAUAGUUUUAUUGAGAAAGAAGGAAGUUGAGAAUACUUGUCUUCUUCACCUGUAAUCACAGAACCUGGGAGGUUGAUGGAGAAGACUUUCCAGGAAUUAGUAGUCAAAUUGGAUACACAGGAGUUCCAUGGCAGCCUUGGGUUCUGGGACAUUGUCGAGAAGAAGGAGGAGGGGGAGGAGGAGGAAGGGGAGGAAGAGGAGGAGGAAGAGGAGGAGGAGGAGGAGGAACAGGAGGAGGAGGAAGAGCAGGAAGAGGAGGAGGAGGAGGAGGAGGAACGGGAGGAGCAGGAGGAGCAGAGGGGGAGGAAGAGCAGGAAGAGGAGGAGCAGGAGGAGGAGGAGCAUCAAUAACAUCAACAUAAUAUAAAUGAAAAAUGGACAAGUCAAAUAUGGAUUUUAUAUAUGAUCAGACUAUCUCAUGAAUCAACUAUGAAAAAUCACUGAUGCUACCACUUUCUUAGUUGUCAAUUUAGCAAACGGUAGUUCCUUCUAUGUUCUUUUCCUGAUAUCUCAACCUACAUUCUGAGAAAGAAUAGUUGGGGGAAUGCUUUAUAUUUAAAAGAAUAGUGACAAAUUUAGACAUUCUGGUGAAAGCAUUGUUUUCUUUAAUCAGGAAUCUUAGAAGAGUGGGGAUAGCACACUUACUGGAGUAACAGAUACAUCUAUCCAUCAAUCUAUCUGUCUAUCUAUCUAUUUAUUCAUUUUGUGUCCCCAAUACUGUUCCCUCCUGGUCACCUCUUACAGAUACCUUCUCCCCAUCCCCCCUCACAUUCUCCCCUGAGAGGUUGGGGCUCCCCUUGGUAUUCCUUAGUCUUGGGCCAACAAGUCUCUUCCAGAUUAGUUACAGUCUGUCCCACUGAGGCCAGACAAGGCAGCCAUAUUGGGUCAUUGAUACAUAAAUACUUUUAAAUGUACUCACUGGUAAUGGGAUAUUAGUCAAAAAGAAACUUGGAAUACUCACAGUACAACUCACAGAACAUGUGAAACCCAAGAGGAAAGAAUAUCACACCAAAGUGUGGAUGCUAUAGUUCCACUCAGUAAGGGGAAGAAAAUAAUCUCUGGGAAGUAGAGGGAGAGGACAAUCUGGGAGAAAGACAGGAGGAGGGAAGGGGAGCCAGUUCAGAUAUGGGAGGAGAUCAUGAGAAGUACAGAGGCUCAGGAAUUUGAAAGUAGUGAGGGCAGUGAGGGGGGGGGACUGUGGGUGGCGACUAGAAAGUCCCAGAUGCCAGGGACCCAAGAGGCUCUCUGGACCAAACAGGGAUGACUUUAGCUGAAAUACUCAAAAAAGGGGAGAGAGAACCUAUACAGACCAUAUCCAGUUGAGGGAUAGGGCCACCACCCACCUCAAAAGUAUUAAUGAAGAAUUCCUCCUGUCAAAAGGAAAUGCAGGGACAGAGUGGAACAGAGACUGAAGGAAAGGCCAUUCAGAGACUGCUCCACCUAGGGAUCCAUCCCAUCUGUUCACACCAAAGUCAGAUACCUUGUUGAUAUCAAGAAGGGCAUACUGACAGGAGCCUGGUAUGGCUGACCAAUACAGAUGCAGAUAGACUGAGCAUGGAACCCCAAUGGGGAAGCGAGGGCAAGAACUCUAGGAGCUGAAGGGGUUUGUAUCCUCAGUAGGAAGAACGACAAUAUCAACCGACAAGACUCCCCUACCCCAAAGCUCCUAGGGAAUAAACCAUUAACCAAAGAGUACACAGGAGGUACCUAUGGAUCCAGCAAGACAUGUAGCAGAGGAUGGCCUUAUCUGGCAUCAAUGAGAAGAGAGCCCCUUGGUCCUGUGGAGGCUCGAUGAGCCAGCGUUGUGGAAGGCUAGGCACUGAGGUAGGAGUGGGUAGGCAGGUGGUGGAGCACCCUCAUAGAGGCAAGAGGUGAGGGAUGAGGGGAUAGGGGGCUUGUGGAGGGGAAACUGGGAAGGCAGAUAACAUUUAAAAUGUAAAUAAAUAAAAUAACCAAUAAAAAAGUGAAACUGUCUCAUCUGAUACUAAGACUCCUCCAGUAUUAGUAUUCUAGUUGUAAUCCAAUAGCACGGGGAUAUGAUCUAAUUCUGAUCUCAAUGAGAGCAUUGUACAAAGGCCCUAAAUUUACAGUUUACUUCUUUUAUUAAUAUGAAAAAUUCUUUAAUUGAAAAUGAUAAUACAAAACUAAUAUUACACAAAAAGUAAAACAAAAGACAGUGAUGAGGAUGUUUUGUCAAAGGAAUCACUUUUGCAACCUAAAACAAUACCCUUAUCAAACUGGACAGAAUUGCAUCCCAUGCCUUAUUAAACCUAUCUCAUUAUGGUUAAGUCUUUGCCUUCCGUAAGUUUACUUCUUAGUAAGGCCUCGGUUUGAGAAUUAUUUCCUCAACUUCACAUAGAGACAUAGGAAUAAGACCGUGUACUUAAUAAAGAAGAGAGAUUAGCUUAUACUUAUGGAAGAUGAGAAAUGUGUUAUAUGGCUUGGUCUUUUGGUCUUUUAACUGAAUUAGAUCUUAGCAAGGAAUAAUAAAUAAAUAUCUUGUAUAUAUGUGCAUUUAUUUGCACAAGUCAGAGAAAAAUACAAAGAGACAGAAACACACACAGGUAGACACAUACACACGCACACACACACACACACACACACACACACACACACAGAGAGAGAGAGAGAGAGAGAGAGAGAGAGAGAGAGAGAGAGAGAGAGUUUAUCUAAUGAACUUUUCAAGGGCCUAUCUCUUAGCCCUGUAAUACAGAAUAAAUUGACAGAAAAACUUUAGGUGAACACAUUUAAAAAUGAAAGAAACAUCAUCAUGUAAACUGACUUGAAAGAAACAUCAUCACGUAAACUGACAUAUUGUGUGAAAUAAAUAACUAAGCACCAGCCCAGCUGCAUUCAUGGUUUGGAAAACAAAGUGAGCCAAUCUGCCUGUCUUUUUAUUAGAAAGGAUGAUUUAAUUUUCUUUAUAUAAAUAUCAAAUGUUAGUGAGUGGAAAAUGGUUUUGAAUUGCUUAAUAUAAAGUAUAGUUUCACGUUUUUUUUCUCUUCUCUCAAUGUGCAGUUGCAGGGCAGAUGUGUGUGUAAAUGUGUGUGAAUGUGUGUGUAUGUGUGUGUGUAUGUGUGUGUGUAUGUGUGUGAAUGUGUGUACAUGUGUGUGAAUGUGUGUAUGUGUGUGUAAAUGUGUGUAAAUGUGUGUAUGUGUGUGUACAUGUGUGUGUAUGUGUGUGUAUGUGAAUGUAUGUGUGUGUAUUGUGUGUAUAUGUGUGUGUAUGUAUGCAGAGCAUAGUUUUGGUGGUAUAAGAAAUUAUAAGGACUAUAACAUAAAACUAGAUGCAUAAACUUAUUAUACACUAAAUAAAUAAAGCUUGUUUGCUUUCAGGAAGCUAGUGAAACUGUGUGCUUUACUGUGCACUAUUUUUCUUUUGUAGAGCAAUGAUUUAUUUCAAUCACAGAAAUGUCUUCAAACAAAUAAGGUUAUAAAGAAAAUAGAGUUGUACUGAAUUAUUAUGGUUAUAUGCAUCUUUUUUCUAUCCAUUUUCCAUCCACUAAUAUUUGAUUUUCCUAUAGAAAAAUUAAAUUACCUAUUUUCUAAGGAAAAGAAAUACAAAUUGGCAUACUUUGUUUUCUGAGCCAUGAACACAAUCUGACCAGUGCUUCGUUAUAUCUGUGAUUAUUAGUAGCUAACAUUGCAUCUAAUUUUCCCUGAAAUUGGCAAUCAUUCUAAUCAAAAUAGUUUAUGUGUGCACUGAUGAAUAAGUUAGGCAGAGAUCCAAAGAAAGUACUUGCUGGUCCUCAAGGUGAACUUGAAUGUCACAUAUAUUGUCCAGGAAGGUAGUUUCCUUGUUAAUCAUCUCUGGCAUUUUGCUUGCACUCAUAUUUAAGUGGUGGUAGACUGGAUAAAGCAAUGUAUCACCCUGAACAAAAGUUCAGAAAAAUGCUCUUAACCUACUGCACUCACUCCUCUCAUGACUCUAUAUUUACUCAGUUGGGAACACCCACUGACAAUUUACAGCAACAUCCAGCCCAACAGUAAUGCUGUCCUCAUGGCAGGGAGAUCUUUUUUCUUUAGGCUUACUUACUUUUUUAAUUGGUUGUUUUAUUAUUAAUGUAUUAUUAAUUUGUUAUUAAUGUAAAUAACAUUUCAAAUGUCUCAGAUCUUCAGGACCAAAGGAACAGAAGUUCUGCUGUGAGGUUGUGCUUCUCUGAAAUUUCUGAAGCUUAUACCCAUGAACUCUCACUAACAUGGCUACCUGAACAUGAAGUAGCUUAGUUGGCCUCUUUAGUUUUUAUGAUGUCCUAACUAGGGCUGCUACCAUUGCUGUAGUGAAACAGUGGCCACAAGCAAGUUGGGGAACAAAGCAUUCAUUUGGCUUGUCCAUUCACACCCGUAGUCUAUCAUAAGGAAAUCAGGAGAGGAAUUCAAACGGAGUGGGAUCCGGAAGACAGAAGCUGAUGCAGAGGCCAUGGAGGAGUGCUGCUUACUGGCUUACUUUUCACUUUUAUUUUAUAUGUACAUAUCAUACACACACACACACACACACACACACACACACACACACACACACACAAACACACACACACACGCACGCACACCCAGUGUGACUCCAUGGAGUGAUAAGAGGAGUAUGCCCCUAUACUUGGCUGCUUCCUCCUCCUCCUCCUCCUCCUCCUCCUCCUCCUCCUCCUCCUCUUCUUCCUUCUUCCUCCUCCUCCUCCUCUUCCUCCUUCUUUCAGAAAAGCAUAGCAGACUAACACAUUUUGGGUGUCUGUUGAAAAGCUGUAGACUAAAGAUAGCUACUUGAAGUUUUUCAUUCUGUAUUUUAUUUACUUCCAAACAUUUUAAGAAAGAAAUAUGUUUGCCCAAAUAUGAAAAAUUGUGAAAAUGUGCCAAAUUGAUUAGAUAGACUAGAAAAAUUGUAGGAACUAGUGACUCUUCUAGAUUGCUCUCUAUGAUUUACUUAGCCUGCUUUCUCAUAGCAGCCAGGACGACCAGCCCAGUGUUGGUGCUAGCAUAAUGCACUGACAUUCCCCAAUUAAUUACUAAUAAUUAGUAACUGAUGUAAAAACCAUCUUACAGCCUGAUUUUAAGAAGGCAUGUUCUCAGUCAAGUUACCUCCCAGCCAGAUGAUUUCAUUUUUAUCAAGAUGACAUGAAAAUACCACAAAUAUAUAGCUACAAAGGCUGAAUUUCUAAAUUUAUUUUAAAUAAGCAUUUCUAUAAUAGCAAUAUGAUAGAAAACUACUCUUUGAGCUACUAACAUUUAGAAAUAUAUGAAUACAAAACACUUUUUAUUGAAAAUGGAUUUUUCCUUCUACAAUACAUUCCAACCAUAGUUUCCUCUCCUUCCAGUUCCCCCCUCUAUCUCCUAUCUAUAUCUCCCCUCUCUCCCACAUCCACUUACGUUGAAUCUCCCUUCAGAAAAGAACAGGCCUCCAAGAGAUGACAUCCCAAACAAAGCAAAGCCAGAUUUAACAAGAAAAGGCAAAAUGCCUCCUGUCAAAGCUUUAUAAGUCAACUCAAUAGAAAGGAGAGACUCAAGAGCAGCCAAGAGAUUCAGAGAAACACCAGCUCCCACUGUUAGAAGUCCCACAAAGCCACUAAGGUAACAGUCAUCUUAUAAAUACCGAGGACCCAGGACAGACUCAUGCAAGCCCCGUGGUUAACACUGCAGUCUCUAUGAAGCCUUGUGAAUUCUGAUUAGCUGGUUACUCGGCCACGUUCUUCUGGUGUCCUCUAUGCCCUCUGACUCCUACAAUCUUUCCUUUCCAUCCUCCAAGGGUUUCCUGAUCUCUCAGUGGAGGAUCCUGAUGGAGACCUCCAAUUUGAGUCUCUACGUAAUGUCUGGCUGUGGAUCUCGGGAGGGUUUACAAUAAAAGGUGCUCUGUAGGAUACUUAAAGAAUCCUACAGCUUCAGAAUCCUCCACCUACGACCUAUUCUGCCUGAAAGAUGUUCUGGGACAAUGAUGGAACGAAAUUUGUGGGAGUGGUCAACCAAUGUUUGUUGAGAGGGAAAACAGGUCCUCCACAGCCUUGAUGGAAAGGCACCAGAGGCUAGAUAACCCAGAGACUUAAGGUAGAACCAUAAAUAGUAAAUAAAUAAAUAGCCAUGGAAAUUCCUAAUGACACUCUGCCUUGCUCAGAGAUUGGUGCCGUUUCCGGCCUCUAUCAGAAUAAAUAGCUUUAAAAUAAUACAUUUUCUCUAAUAUGUAUAUCGAAUCAAAUUGGGAAAAUAGUGCUAUUAGGCAAUCUAACAAGUAAUGUUUAGUCACUGUGAUCUGUGAGACCUGAAUACAAUAAUGAAAUUUCUGGUUCAUAUCAACAAUGUUUUCCUAUUAUUCUUGUGAAUUCUCAACUAGUGGGCAUUAUUGCGGUUUGGCAUGCAGUAAGGUCUCAGGAUACCUCCAAUUAAGUCUACUUCUUUACUCGCCAAAAAGGAAAUCUAUCGAGAUUAUAAAAUGUAUUAUAUAGAAUGGUAAAUUGCAAUGUAUAAACAUGUUAAGAAUUAAGAAAUAGCAUGCUCAUUUAGUAGGAAAUUAUCCGUAGUUAAAUUAUGGGCAGAUUUAUUUAAACUCAUUAAGUAUCAUGCAGACACUUAAAAUAUUUACCUAAUAUUUGAAAUGUAUGAAAGUAAGCAGGAUAGUAGGAUGCAUGCAUAACUAUAGAAUAAUUCUCUCCAAUAAGUUGGAUCCUCUAUUUGUAUUGAAUAGUUUUCAAAUAUUAUUACCUCAGAUAAGUAAAAGAAAUUACUCCUUUUAAUUCUAAUCUUCAUAAUAACAGAAGGGUUUGUGUACGAACCUUUCUACUUAUUUUCUUCUGUCUCUUGGUUUUUCUGAUUCAACCUAGAAAUCAACAUUCCAUAUUGCGACUAAAGACUUUUUGUCAUUCUUACAAAAGCAAUUACUAAUAGCUCUUCUAUUCCCACUCUAAAUUCUCAUACGAUGCCAAAGUUUCUGUCAUUUUUGAAAUGUCAAGAACUAGUUCCAAAACGCUAAAAUUGCAUCAAAAUAUUCCUGUUUUCCAAAAUGAAUCAAAUAGCUAUUAAUAAGGUAAUUUGUUGGUUAGUAUAGUCUGACCAGGAAUUUGUGAACACUAGGGUAAAUAACAUUUGUAAAAGCCAGUAAUAAGGAGAAGGGGAAAAAUUUAUCCUGACUACUAGAAAAAUAUAUGACACUGAUUAUGUUUCUUUGCUUGUUUGCCAUUGAAUUUACCAUGUUAGCUAGUCCGUAAGUCUCCAGAGACUCUCUUGUCUCCUCCUCCCAUCUUACUGAAGGAGUACUGGCAUUAUUGGUGUAUUUUUAAACAUCUGACUUAACAAGUGUUCUAGAGAUCUGAACUCAGGUCAUCAAGCUCCUUGGCAUAUACUUCAUACUAUGAAUCAUCUCUCAAGUCCAGGAUACUCCUUUAAACCUAAAUCAGGAUCUCUCCUAAUGAUCAAUGUAUACAGACAUUGACAUUUCUCAGUCAUCCUUAAUUACCCAUCAUCUCAUGGGGACAAUCACACACACACAAAAAAACAAAAACAAAACCAUAAAAGUCGUUACCUUCUCUACAAACAAAAUAAUGGCUUCCAUUUGCCCACUUCAAGUAUGUUGACUUGUUUUUGCAAGGCUCAUUGAAUAGAUCACAGGGGUUAUAGUACUGAUGGCAGAGCCCCAGUGUAGAAGGGUGGGCUCAGAGAUAUGAAUUGCCCAGAGGUAGGAAACUCAAGAUAGUUGUAUUCACGCAUGGACUAGAGACAAAUUCAUUUAUUUCUUCAUCGCAGUUUCUUUCUAUAAAUUCAGAUGGAUAUUCACAACAACAAAAAAGUUUAAAAGAAAUCAUUAACAAUGCAUUUUUAUGCUGAUUCUUUGGAUUUAAUGAAAUUAUUACAUUGAAAUAUAAAUAUCAGGAUAUUUACAUUAGAGCAGGAUUAAUGAACUGUACAUGACUGAAUUUAUUUUAUACUUAAUUUCCUGAAAUUGUUUUAUACAUAUUUUCACAAGACUGUCUGCAGUGACUAAAUUUCAGAUUUUGGAUGCAUUUUGUUAAACUUAGAGUGUAAUCUGGCAUCUGAGACGUAUCAGGCUUUAGGUUUGUAAUGAAUGACCACUAAUAAGAUUUCCACAUUAUUUCUUUAAUGAAAGUUUGCUUUACAGAUAUUAGUGUUUACAAGCAUGAGAUGAUUUUUAGUGCAACAUCCUUAGAAACAUCCUUAGAAACAUAUUGUUCUUUUAGUCAACAAGACAUCUAACAAAUAUCAAAGGCAAGGUAGAAACCACAGCGUGGGAUAAAAUAAUUCAAAAAACAAUAUAAUCAUGGGUAAGGAUUAUGUAUUAAAUAGAUUCUGUGUGUGUGUGUGUGUGUGUGUGUGAGAGAGAGAGAGAGAGAGAGAGAGAGAGAGAGAGAGAGAGAGAGAGAGAGAGAUUUAGUACACCCAAAUUAUUUCAUUUGAGAAAUCACCAAAUAAUAAAACUAAUAAUCUCAGAGCAAGGUGGAGAUAAAUUGACGGCAGGUUUAUAAGCAUUCACUCUCAGCACUGUCUUAGUGUCUUCAUUAAUAUCUGCUGACACAUAAUUUUCACAGAAGCAUUGUUACUCUGUGUGCCUAAAAAUACUAUGAAUAUAAAUGGUGAUUAUUAACUUCAUGAUUAGUGGCAUUUUGUGUUUUUCAAGUUGUAGAUUAUUUUAUACUCUCAGGUCUAAUGGUGCCUUUUGAAGCUACUUCAAGAUACAUAGAAGACGCACUUUUACUACCUAAUUUACACAUGAGAUGGUUAUGAGUGUGAAGGAUAAAGUUAUUCAUCUAGUAUUACGUCUUUUGCAAACAGGGUCAUGGGCUCAUACCUCUUCUGCCAAUAUCCUUAUAGUUCAUAAUUUUAUUUAUUUUAACUUUCAAAUGCAAAAGCAAGGUAUUUAACAGUCUGUGAAAAUAUAAGCUAUUACCAAGUUCCAGUAAAAUAGCUUCAGCACAUUUUAUAUGAAAUAUGGCCACCACUGUAAAUAUAUCAAGUUAAUCAAAUCAUAGGAAUAAAUGAAUAUACUAUUGAAACUUCAUGAGGAUAAACAUUUUUAAAAAUAACCCCUCCUUAAAUCAUAGUCCUUCUACAGCAUAAUCACCGAUGCUAAGAUUCUAGUACAAACUGCUGUAACUUAUUCAUGAUUAUACUUUUCUUAGUCCAGGGUUUCAAUUUGAAUAAAAGUUUUUCCCAAUGAACGAACGGUAGGCAAAUAUUUGGAAUAUGUGGUAAGGGUUUGUUUUCACUUUCAGAAACAGGUGGACCGAGGCUUGCUAUAAUUUUGCCUUCUGGAUGCAGCAUUCCAGAAAGCCUUUGGCUUUCGUGAAUGGGACUAAUAAAGCCAAAGUUGAGUCUUGUGGAGAUGUGACGACUAGUGAACAACAAUCAUGUCUGUGGGUUUAUGUACGUGGGUGUGCUUUCUAUAGGUCAGAGACACUAGUUGUUGAUGGAUAGAGAACUCUGUCUCUCAUAAGAGCUCCAGAAUACCCUCAAAGUUUUCACCAUAAAACAAAUGCCUCAUUGGGAUCUGACAAGACUUUACAACUCAAUUCUAGAAGCAGACUUUGACGUUAAAAGAAAAAUUAUGAAACCCUAGAGUAUAGUUUCUCUAGUUUCCACUUCUAGCAGUGAACACUUGAAAACAAUUUAGGUAUACUUAAAGUUAAAUUGAUAAAUUGAUAUGGUCUACCAUAGUGAGAAAGAUAAAUCCAUUUGUGUAAGGCUAAAUGAAGUAUGCAUAGGUGUUGCAGUAAAAAGAAAAAAAGGGCAGAACAUUCCUGCUGGUACCCUGGUUGUCCUGCUUUUGCUAACUCCGGUUCCAGAAUGCCAUUGAAACUAGCACUAAUUUAUCUCAGAGGCUCGAUGCUGCCCUCAAGUACUGUCUGACCGAGGUGAGUUGUGGUUACGCCAGUUUCAUAUAGAGAUUGCCUAUCUUGUGGCUUUCUUACUGCAGACUCUGUACAUAUUUCCAGCAUCCACCCCGUGUUCCCAGAAGCGGCUACCCUGUCGUAACUCUCUGUAGCUGCUCUGAUUGCAUUCAUCCAUCCCUAAUAGUUAUGGUAUAAACUCCCAACGACCCAUUAAAAUCAGGACUCAACAAACUGCAACCCAACAUUCAGAUUCAUAUGUUAAAUUCUCAGUCCCGCAAAUUCAUUCACACAAUAAACUCACAACCAAUUGAUAAGUAUAUAAACCAUCCAACUAGAUAAGAUAAAUUUGCCUACAGAAAUCCAUCCAAGGUACCGUGGCAAUUCAGGUCUACCUGGAUCUGGAUCAUCCUUCUGUCUCCAUUUUGAUUCUCCUUCCUUCUCCUUCUCUCCCGCCUUCAAAGGCUUUGCCCUGUCUUAUUUUUUACUGUCUAAUCAUGGUCUUGACCUAACUUGUGCCAGCCCUCAUCUGCAUAUAGACAUCAACCCACACAUAAGCAAAGUUCAGGUCAGUUUUCAGUGAUUUAGAGGACUAAUGCAAAAAAAUAAAAUAUAAGUUACAUAUUGUUUAAAAUUUGGAAUAAAACUAUAUUUAUGAAGGAUAUUCAUUUUAUAUAGAAAUAAUUUUAUGGCAGCAUUUAAACAAUAACCACAUUAUAUGUUAAUGUAGAUCUAGAUGUGAAAGAUUUUAAAGAAGUUUGUGUAAUUAAAAAUAGUCCUUUUUGUCCACAUGAUGACAAUAUAUAUGAUAAUAGAAAAAAUUAAAAUAAUUUUUAUGAUAACAGUAUACUGUUUGUAAAUGCACACAAUAGCACAUUAUUAUUAUAAGAAGCUGGGAGGUGGGGCUGGGGAUUUAGCUCAGUGGUAGAGCGCUUACCUAGGAAGCGCAAGGCCCUGGGUUCGGUCCCCAGCUCCGAAAAAAAAAGAACCAAAAAAAAAAAAAAAAGAAGCUGGGAGGUGAGUGGAUAAAAUAUUAGGCAAACAGUUAAAAUUUACAAUUAUAAGUUAUUAGGCUUAAGGUCAACAUUAUGCAUAAUGAGUUAUUAUAAUGAAUAAAAAGUAUGCUUGAGAAUUUCUAAUGAGGUAUUUUUAGGUAUUCUCCUGAAAAGCAAAAAUUGUGUUGAGCUAAUACCUAUGUUAAUUGGUCUUUUUAGUCAUUUUGUAACCUCAAUACACUACCAUGAAUAUACAAAAAUAUAUUUAUUAAUUGGAACAAUUAGUUUAUUAACUAUUUCUUAUAGUAAUUAUGUUAUUUGAAAUAGAAAUUCCAAACAAGCAAGAUAGGAAAAACUAAAGAAGAUUAUGAGUAAUUUAGUAGUAUUCUUUUCAUCGUAGUAUUUUAAAAUUUGACCACAUAGCCAAAGAGAGAAAUACUUCAUAAUUAAAUCUUUUAUUUGAUCUGUAUAUUGAGUCAUCAAUUUAGGCAUAGUAAGAUCCUACGAAAUGAGACAGAAUAAACAUGAAUUAUCAGUAGCUUACUACUGUAAUUUUAAUCCCCCAAUCCCUUUUGGAGAAGAGUGGAAAACCUCUAUAGUAUUGAAUCUGGUAAAAUUAUAAUGAUAAUUUUCAGUGAAUGAUAAUAUAAGAAUAUUUCUGAAGACCAGCAUAGCUAUGUUAAGAUGUUAAAGCACUUCAAAAUAUUGAUGGAGAUGGAAUUUAAAUUUGGAGGUUAUCCUGAAAUUGAUAUCAAAAGGUACAGGGAAUUAGGAAUGCUUUGAGUGGGAGAAGUAGUCUUCUCUAUGGAAGAGCAAACCAAUUUGUUUUCCAAUAUCAAGUGAUCAGCUGUGAAAACAGCUGUGAUACAGACUGGACAAGUUUUAAACACACACACACACACACACACAUAAACAUAUUUAUAUAUGUUUACAUGUGUACCACAUACAUACAUAUGUGUGUGGUACACAUGUAAACAUAUAUAAAUAUAUACAUAUAUAUGCAUUAUAUGCAUGUGAUGUGAUAACAGUUCAUGAAAAACAAGGCUAUUUAUAUAAAAGAGACCAAGAAGAGGUAUGUGGAAGUGUUUAGAUAGAGGAAAGGUAAGCGGGAUAAUAUGCUAUUAAAUUACAAUCUCAAAACCGAAAGAAAAAAUAAACAAGCUUGCAUAUGUCAUAGGAGAUAAACCUCAGUCAUAUUUAAAGCAAAAGAGAAAAAUAUGACAUCAACAUAAGGCUUUGAAGAAUUUAGGAAACAAUAUGUACAUUGAAAAGAAAUUAAUGAAGUUGCCCAAAUUCUCCUUAAAAUCCAACACAAUGAAGACUAUCAUAGUAAUAUUCCAUUCUCUGGACACAAUAUCAAUAUUAAUUAGCAUUCUAUUGCUUUUAAUAAACACCAUGGCUAUCUUUUAUGCCAACUUGACAUAAGCCACAGUCAUCAAUGAGGAGAGAACCUCAAUGGAGAAAAUGUUUCCAUAAUAUUGAACUAUAGGCAAGCUUGUAGAGCAGGUUUAACAUUUCUGACGGGUGUGAAAGAGCCCAGCCAAUUACUAGUAGAGACAGUCCAGGACAUGAGCAAGCCAAGCUGAGCAAGCUCGAUGGAGCAAGCAACUAAGCUGCAUUCCUCCAUGGCUUCUGCAGGAUCUCCUGCCUCCAGGUUAUAUCUUACCUGAGUUCCAGUCCCAACUUCCUUCAGUGAUGAAACAGUGAUGUAAAAGCAUAGGUCAAAUAGAUCCUUUCCCAACUAUAUUUUGUUCAUGAUUUUUUUUAUUACAGCAAUAGUAUCUCUAACUAAGAUAAUGACCAAAACCAACUUGGCUAGGAAUGGAUUUCUCUUAUAGAGGGACAACAAAACAGGAACUCGAGCAGGUACCUAAAGACAGUAUCAGAUGUGAAGAACAAGGAGGGAUCGUGUAUGCUACCUUGCUUUUUAAUGCAUUCUCCAGGUUGCUUCCUCAUAAUACAAACCCAGGAAUACCUCCCUAGCAGUGGUACUGCCUGCAAUGAUCUGGGCCCAACCACAUCAACCAAGGAAUUCCCCAAGAACCAAGGAAAUUUUCCAUAGAGAACCUCAGGGGCCAAUAUAAUAGAGAAAAAUCCUCAAGAUAUAUUUCCAGUUUUCUUUUUUAAAAUUAUCCCUUGUUUGUAUCUAGUUGACACAAAACAGCAAGCACAUUAUGGAACCUCUCUUGGUUGCUGUUCUAUUGCCAUAAAGAGACACCAUUACCAAGGGAUAUCAUAUUUUAAAAGUAUUUAAUUGGAGACUUACUUCUAUUAUGGUUUCAGAGGUUUAGUUCAGUAUCACCAUGGAAUAGCAGCAGGGAACACAGUGGCAAGCAAGCACGUUACUGGAGAAGUAGCUAAGAUCUGCCCCUGAUCUGUGAAGCCAGAGAGGGACACUGAACCUGAUGUUGUUUUUUUAUCUUUAAAGCCCACCUCAGUGGUAAACUUUCUCCAAUGAGGCCAUACCUAUCAUUCCUUCCAAUUCUUCUAAAUAGACACUCUAUGUUGCAACCAAACAUUGAUAUAUAUGUGUGUGUGUGUGUGUAUAUAUAUAUAUAUAUAUAUAUAUAUAUAUAUAUAUAUAUAUAUGGAGGCCAUUUUUAUUUAAACAACCAUAGCACUGAAACAGUGUAGAAUACAGCUCUCCUAGUUAGUCUUAUUAACUUGAUACAGUUUAGGGUCAUGAAAGAGGAAAUUCUCCAUUGAGGAACUAUCUAGAUCAGACUAUCUUUGGGGCCUGUCUGUAUAGGACAUUCUUGACUUUUUUUAAUUGAAAUAGUAUGACUCAAUCCUAUGUGGCUGGCACCUGAUCUAGACAGAUAAUCCAAUGCUACAUAAGAAAACUACCUAAUUAUCAGCUUGAGGACAAAAGUGCUUCCCAACAUCAUUUCUGCCUUACCAUUUCUUCCUGCUCUGAUGUCCCUUAAUGAUGAAUUGUGAACUGGAAUUGUUAAAAUAAACUCUUUCCCCUGCAACUUGAUUUUGGCCUGAGAGUACUUUCUCACAAUGACAAAAAAGUAAAUUAGAAAAUAACUAAACAAAAAAGCUAUAAGUCAAUAUCUUUAAUGGGUAUUAAAAAUCUUCAGCAAAGUAUCAGUGCACUGAAUCUAAUAGUUCAUUAAAAAGAUUGUUAACCUUAGUACUAUAAUUAAGUGGGAAUAUUAUGACCCUGAGAGCUACUAUGGAAUUUAAUUACUAUAGUUAUUAAUUUUGUAUUAUAUAUUUAAUAAAUAUAAAAGAUAUUUUGUGUAUUUUCACAAUAAAUUAAUGAAGGUAAGGACAUGGAACUUGAUUUAUUUUUGAACAAUUGAUACAUAAUUUGCAAUGCUACCUGUUAAUUAUUAUUAUAUGUAGUCUACAUACCAAUUAGUAAGUUAGUAAAUUAAAAAGGAAUACUUAUAAAUCCUAAUUGUUUGUCAGAGUCAGUAUGAGCUUCUCUUAAAAAAAAUAGUUUCUUUCAUAGUCAGACAAAUUUGCAAUUGAACCCAUUUGCAGCUUACCAUUUAUGCAAUUAUAUGUAUAUCUGCAAAAUACUCACACACAAUACAUUAAAUUAUAUGUGGAAUCAGAUGUAUAAUCUUUCAAAUGAAAUUUAAAAUACAUAAAAUCCCACAUGCUAUUAUUUUCUUUCAAGUUCCGUUUGAGUAGGAGGCACGAUUUCACAAUAAAUAAACAAGACAUAGAGUGUUGCUUAAUGCAUAGAAAGCACUGGGACUUAAAUUUCUGAAUGUUUUACAAAAUAAUUUAUAAAUAUGCACUAUAUCAGGUGUUUUAUGAGAAGAACCAUUUCCAACUUAAGCUCUAACAUCUUCCUUAAAUUACAAAAGAAAAUUAGAUGUGCCUAUAAAAACCUGAACAGUUUUAUAUAUUUAGAAAUAUAUUAGAAUGAAGCAAGAAAUCUAUUUUUUUGAGUUGGGAUAUACUAAGGGCUGUGUUUAUUGCAAACACCUUGGAAGUAAUAUGUAUCAAAAAUAUGUACUCCAAUUCCUCAUAGGCCCUUGGCUAUAAGUAUGCAAUACAAGUGAUCAUAAAAUUUUGCAUAAUUUUGGUUGGCUAACAUUGUAUUAUUGGGAAGUAAGUCACACAGGAAGAAUCUCCCUCGUCUUUUCUUGUGCACAUUCUCAUGAGUUCUUUGAGGAUUUCUUACAGCAUGGUCAUAUUCACUCUCCUUUUCCCAUGUCGUGCUAAGCUUCCCUACUUGUCAUCUUUUUUAUCUUCCCUUCCCCUUUUAGAAACUCAUCUAAGCCACAGGUUAUACUACUCAUAUACUUGGAAGCUGGAGCAAGGUAAACUUACCAGGACCUACACUCUGAGAUAAAAGAGGCUCCCCCUUUUCAAACAUGUUCCAGUUACUAAUAAGUCCUUGGCUCUGGGUAGGAUUUCAUGCUUAACUUUCCUCUGCGUUAGUAUCUUGGCUUGCUUUAACUUGGAUGAGUCUUGUACCUAUGUCACAAUUGUAGCGCAUUUGUGGUGCAGCUGUCCUGAUCUAUGCAGAAGAUAGCUCCUUGCAGACAUCAAAUACCCAUUGUUUUGCUUAUACUUUCCCACCCCCUUGUCUGUAACUAUCCUGAGUCUUGGAAGAAGUACUAUUGGAUAUAUUCCCUUUAAGUAUUGACUCUUCUGCUGCUUUAUUCGCUGGACCUUGUACAAGGGUGGCUUUCUGUGUUGCUCGUCAUCUACUGCAAAUGGAAGCUUCUAGGAGGAGGGUUUGGAGAAGCCUAAAUCACCUCGCUGAAUCUAUAGAGGAUGAAAUAUCUUAAAGAUGACCGCGCAGUUCUCAAGCUCAGCCAGACAGAGGCUUAGUCAUCGCUAUUGCUCUUUGGUCAGCACCACAGACAUCAGGGAGGACAAAAAUGGAGAAAAAAUUUCCCAUUGUUUUGUACAAGGGGUUCUGAAGUAGUUAUACAUAGUUUUGGGACCAAACACAAUGUACAUUUAAUUUCUUCUUUUUUCUUUCCUUUUUUUUUCCUUUAUUAACUUGAGUGUUUCUUAUUUACAUUUCGAAUGUUAUUCCCUUUCCCGGUUUCCGGGCAAACAUUCCCCUAACUCCUCCCCCCUUCUAUAUGGGUGUUAACCUCCCCAUCCUCCCCCCAUUGCCGCCCUCCCCCCACAGUCUAGUUCACUGGGGGUUCAGUCUUAGCAGGACCCAGGGCUUCCCCUUCCACUGGUGCCCUUACUAGGCUAUUCAUUGCUACCUAUGAGGUCAGAGUCCAGGGUCAGUCCAUGUAUAGUCUUUAGGUAGUGGCUUAGUCCCUGGAAGCUCUGGCUGCUUGGCAUUGUUGUACAUAUAGGGUCUCGAGCCCCUUCAAGCUCUUCCAGUUCUUUCUCUGAUUCCUUCAACGGGGGUCCAAUUCUCAGUUCAGUGGUUUGCUGCUGGCAUUCGCCUCUGUAUUUGCUGUAUUCUGCCUGUGUCUCUCAGGAGAGAUCUACAUCCGGCUCCUGUCGGUCUGCACUUCUUUGCUUCAUCCAUCUUGUCUAAUUGGGUGGCUGUAUAUGUAUGGGCCACAUGUGGGGCAGGCUCUGAAUGGGUGUUCCUUCAGUCUCUGUUUUAAUCUUUGCCUCCCUAUUCCUUGCCAAGGGUAUUCUUGUUCCCCUUUUAAAGAAGGAGUGAAGCAUUCACAUUUUGAUCAUCCGUCUUGAGUUUCAUGUGUUCUGUGCAUCUAGGGUAAUUCAAGCAUUUGGGCUAAUAUCCACUUAUCAAUGAGUGCAUACCAUGUGUGUUUUUCUGUGAUUGGGUUACCUCAUUCAGGAUGAUAUUUUCCAGUUCCCUCCAUUUGCCUAUGAAUUUCAUAAAGCCAUUGUUUUUGAUAGCUGAGUAAUAUUUCAUUGUGUAGAUGUACCACAUUUUCUGUAUCCAUUCCUCUGUUGAAGGGUAUCUGGGUUCUUUCCAGCUUCUGGCUAUUAUAAAUAAGGCUGCUAUGAACAUAGUGGAGCACGUGUCUUUUUUAUAUGUUGGGGCAUCUUUUGGGUAUAUGCCCAAGAGAGGUAUAGCUGGGUCCUCAGGUAGUUCAAUGUCCAAUUUUCUGAGGAACCUCCAGACUGAUUUCCAGAAUGGUUGUACCAGUCUGCAAUCCCACCAACAAUUGAGGAGUGUUCCUCUUUCUCUACAUUCUGUUUCUCACUUUCUCCUGUAUAGCAUUUUGACUAUACCUGGUUUGUCUGAGAAGUGGGAUGAAUGUGUUUGCCCACGAAUGAUGAUUUUGUGCUGACCCAACUGGAUCAAAGUAUGCUACAUGCCUUGGAAUUUAAUCCUAAGAACACUUUACUAAUAGAGGUUCACUGGAAUACACUCAGGAUUCUACAAAACCUUCAAUGUCCCAUUCAAAUUUAAGAAAAAAAAAAGGUGCGCCUUAUAUCUCACUUCGCUAAAAUGCAAGGUGGAACAUCAUGUCUCUAAAUGCUUAAUAACAGAACCAUGACAGCUUGGCACUUAGGAAUCAAGUCCCAGAAGCAUAGGUUUGAUACCAGGUUUCAGUAGAUUUGUAGUAAGCAUAAUGAGUCUUUAGCUGCUGUGAAAAUUCCUUCUCUGGGAGAGACUUAAACAAUGCCUACUUCCCCCCUCCUGAGGUUCCAAGCACAAACCAGGGUAGGGACCCACUGAUUUCUAUCUGGGUAACACUUGGGUUUAUUGUACUUCCUCACCUAUUGAUGGGUGAAGGCUUAUCGGCAAAAUAAGAGCUGGCUUAACAUAGUCACCUUGGGAGAGCUGCACAGUACGGGGAUGAUGGCUUCCCCAUGAUUGUGUAGCCGUUUUCCUUCCCCGCCUCACUCAUCAGUCCCACCUAUAUGCUCUGGCUUCUAUCACAAGAUCACAAGAUAUUGGGAUAGGAUUACUUAUACGUGGUUGGGAGGGAUGACUAGAUACUUAGAUGAGUGACCCUUGACCCUUUGAGUGUCCUCCUCCUUUGAGCGAAGGUAAAGAGUCAAGAGGUCCAGCUGUUGGGAUGUUGGAAUAUUCUUUGAGCAGUCUCAGCAAAAUUCUCAAGAUGGUAGAAGUUUGGUUUUGGAGGGCAGUUCUCUGGAACACAGGCAUUUGGGACACUAGUGAUCGAAAAUAGCCAUAUGAAGUUAUGGUAACUACAGAAGUGGGGGGGGGAUGUAGAUCUGUGGAAUUAGAGCGAGGAUGGAUUUCAGGUGAUGAGGGACAAAUAUGACUUAAAGUUACUAAUAGAUGAGAAAGCGAACUUUAUCACUUCUGGCCUCAACUCCAGCUACAGAGUAUGACUACAUGGCGUAUCCUAUUCACGUGCCAUGUAAAAUUAAUUGCAUGGCACAUAUCCCACAAAAAUCAUAAAAAUAGUGUCAUUCUUUGUUUUUAAUUGGUUAUUUCAUUUAUUUACCUUUCAAAUGUUAUCCCUCUUCCAGCUUUCUCCUCUGCAAAACCCCCUAUCCCAUCCCCCCUGCCAAAACCCCCUUAUCCCAUCCCCCUUCCCCCCUGCUUCUAUGAGGUUGUUCCCCCAUCCACCCAUCCACUCCACCUCACUGUCCUGGAUUCCCCUACACUGGGGCAUCAAGACUUCACAACACCAAGGGCCUCUCCUCCCAUUGAUGCCUGAUAAGACCAUCCUCUGCUACAUACGCAGCUGGAGCCAUGGGUCCCUCCAUGUGUAUUAUUUGGUUGGUGGUUUAGUCCCUGGAAGAUCUGGGGGGAGAGAUCUGUUUGGUUGAAAUUGUUGUUCUCCCUAAGGGGUUGCAAACCCCUUCAGUUCCCAUAGUUCUUUUCCUAACUCCUCAAUUGGAGUCUCUGUGUGCAGUUCAAUGGUUGACUAUGAGCAUCCGCAUCUGUAUUGGUCAGGCUCUGGCAGAGCCUCUCAGGAGAAAACUUAUCCGGCUCCUGUCAGUGUUUCUUGACAUCAGUGAUAGUGUCUGGGACUGGUGUCUGCAGAUGGGAUGGAUCCCUAGAUGGGGCAGUCUCUGGAUGGCCUUUCCUUCAGUCUCUGCUUCACUUUUUGUCCCUGCAUUUCCUUUAGGCAGGAGCAAUUCCAGAAACCAGUAAAUACAAUUCUGGUACCUUGCUGUUCAGCUUAGAACUGAAGUUCUUAUUUCUCCAGAGUCUGGGAAUUUUGGUAUUUUACAGCUCUGAAAAAGUGCCCUCAACUUGACAGAACUACUAUACUCGGCAUCAUUGACCAUUUUUGGAGAUUAUAUGAUUAUAGGUAAAUGUAGACAAAGGAAGGGUGUGCUGCCAAGAAUAGCAGCCAUAGACUCAUAUUUGAAUACUUAGGGAGUGGCAUUGAGAGGUUUGGGUCUUACUCUAGUAGGUUUGGUCUUUUUGGAGGAAGUAUAUCCCUGAGCAUGGGCUUUGUGGUUGGGCUUUGUGGUUCAAAAUGUCCAAGCUAUGUCCAAUGGUAAUCUCUCUUCCUGCUUUAUGUAUACUUCCAACCCUGACAAUAAUAACUUAAACCUCUGAAACGUCAUACCGAUUAAAUAGUAUUUUGUUAUAAAUUGCUAUGGUCAGAAAUAGAGUAGAUAUUGUGGGAGGAUGGGGGAAGAUGGAGACUUUUUAAACAUCAAGUUUUGAAAUAUCAAUGAAAGCACUAUACAGUUAUCAAGAGCCUUGUACAAUGAACUUACGGCAUACCAAUCUCUAUGUCCUACUUAGAAUUCUGAUGAUUUCAACCUGUAAUUAAUUCACUAUGAAUAAGUGACAAAUGCUACUAUUCAUCUCCAAGAACUGUACAUAUCCAAUUCCUCAAAGGAUGCAUUGUACAGGGCUUUAUAAUUUGCAAUGGAGAAAGAUGAAAAAUAGGCAAUAUAAAUUAAGACAGCACAGAUUACCUACCACACUUACAGUGAUUUAAAUAAGUGGCAUAUCAUUAUGAUUUACAAAUAUAAUCAAUAAGGCUACCAUAUAUAAUAUAUAAAAUAUUUCAACACUUUUAUUCCAACUAAGUAGGCAUUUCACUUAUAUACAUAUGUAAACAUACAUAUACACACAUACUUCUAGUCAUGCAAAGAUAUUAAGAAGAAUGAUGGGAAACUUUGGAUUAAGUAUUCUAGAUCAAAUUUUGUGCAUUCUCUAUUAUUUGAAUCAAUCUGAAAAGCUUGCUAUAAAGUCCUUAUAAGUAAAAACACUAAAUUUAAAAUAUCUUUCUCACAUUAGCCAAUACUUAUAAAAUAUCUCUGCUUGAUUAAAGAAAUUAUUAUCUUUUGAUGCCUUAAAAGUGAGUUAAUGGAAGAUGGGGGUUUUAAUAUUUUAUAAAAUAUGAAAAUAACUGUAUUUUAUGCAAUAAUUUUAUUAUAGAUCUACUUUCAAAACUCCCUUGGCUAAUGUUGAAAGCUAGUUCUGUUCUGUAGCAAGCAUUAGUAGCCGAAAUGUCUAACCCUAAAGUGAGCCGCCAACUCUUCAUAUUCCUUCAUUAUCCACACGGAUGUUGCUUUGCCCUUUUGGCAUGACUCAUUGGAAAUCUGAGGGUCACACAUUUCAGUUUUCAGGGCAUCUCUGCAUGGCAUCUCUAGGACUGGGCAAAAGCACCACAAUCACCAUCCAGCAGAUAACUUCCUGCCUUAGCUUGGCAUCAGUAAGAAACAGCUGGUGAGCAUGUGCCCACCAUCUUCUCUGGUGUUCAUCUUUGCAAGGCAACAGUGGCAUUGAUGCACUACAGGGAAGCACAUUUUCUCUGCCAAUUGUCUCUGGAAUAGCCUUAGUACAGAACUCGGGGCUUCCUACACAUGUUCCUACAUUAGGCGCUUCUCAAUACAAGGGACCUACAAUAGUAAAGGGUUAUUUUUGCUUCUCAUUGUCAUAGUUCUAAAGAGUAAUUUUUCUCAAUUCUGCACCAUUAUACUUGAUGUUUAUGAAGUGAUUCUCUGGUUUAAUUCCUAUUUCAGUCAAAACACCAUAUGUAUUUUGUAUAUAUUACCAAUAAAUCUAUAAACUGACUGUCUUGAUCCAUCUACUUUGUUUUUUCCCUGUUCAAUGUGAAAUUACACAAUAUGGUAAUUUAGAUAAUUGUUAUGAAUUUGUAGUCUUAAAAUUAUAAAAGCACUAUAUAAUUAGCUCUAUUUAAAUCACUUCUAAUCACAUGUGCAAUGUGAAAUACUUAUUGAAGAAAACUCUGCUUUUCUCAACUACACUCAAUGUUUGUGAGUAAGGAAUGAAAUUGUUCUGUAAAUAUUUUGUAGAAUGACAUUACUCUACAUGUCGGGGGCGGGUUCUUCCGUUUUGCCUUGAGAUUUAACAUCAAGUAAAUGCCAAGCCAAGGUCACUAGUCACAAUAUAAAUCUGCUACACUGGGAACAGUAGGCCACAUCUUGACAAACAUGAUAUUGAAGCCUGGAAACCUGACAAAAUCGAGUUGCCAAAAGAUCAUAUGAUCCCAAAGCUUGGUUGUAAGUAAAUAAAAUAAAAUUAGUUUUUUAGUGUCUUGUUUGGCAUGCCAGACAUGCAUAUGACUAUAAUCAUACAAAGCUGUUCAUGUUGCCUCAGAAAACAAACAUGACUCCAGUUUUCACUGAUCUAUUAUAGUUCUUAACUUUUUUGCGGCAAAGAAAAUAAAAUCAAAUCAAGUAAAAUGCAAACGAUAUAUAUAUAUAUAUAUACAUAUAUAUAAAAUAUGAUGUGUUAAAAUGGAAAAUAUUUAUGAGCUGGUUUAACUUAAGCCUAGGUGUUAAUUUACAGAUAUUAAUACUGAGGUGGAAGCUUCCUUAUCUACUCCUCUCAAGUAUUUGCCUAGACUUUUAGACAAGUAUCUGACAAGUCAAUUAGCAUGAUAUCUCAUCUUCUGGAAAUUUGUGAUUAUUUUCUUACCCUCAAAUUAUAUCUUACUUCAUCCUAUUGCCUUAGUAAGUCAUUCGCAUAUGACUGGUAAUCUAUUUUUAAUAAUGAGUAAAAUAUAAAGUUUAUCUUCUGCUUGUCUCUUAUUUUAAGAAAUACUGGCUAUUACAAGUAGACAAUACACUAAUAUCAUUAGGGAUAAUGGCGGAUUCAACACCAGGCAAUGUGUUAAUUUUAGUUGGAAUAGACAAAUUCUCUAUUUUUUUUACGGCACAUGCUAUUUACUCUUUUUCCAUUUUUAUUCACCCUAUAAAGCUGUCAUAAAUAGACAGAACAAAAAUAGGAAGCUUUUACAGGUUUCUUUGUAUGCAUGCUUGUUUUCCUUAUUUUAUUCAUAAAUCAAUACAUUUUAAAGUCUGAUUUAAUAUUUUGUUGUAUUUAUCUGUAUCCUCUUAAACUCUGAGAAACAAAACAACUUAAUUUUUCCACAGCAAGUUUUCAAGUUGUAGAUUUUAAGUUCAAAGCACAUUUAUGAAAAAGGAUUGUGGCUGCUGUUACACACUGUGAUAAAAAUUCUUCUGUUUACUUUACCUAUUCAAUUUAUACUGACUUCCCAUACCAGAGGUGAGUAUGAAUUAAUGUCAGAUGCAUAUUUUAACAUUCUACCACCUUUCAACUUUGUUUAUAUAUUUAAAUACUAUAUUAUAUUGUUAAAUUCCUGAAGCUCAGACUACCUAAAACAAAUAAGAUCUGGAUAGAACCAAAGUUUUGGCAAUUUAUUUUAUAGGUAAUUCUAAAAGAUAGCCAAAUGUAUUCGUAUUCUGCAAUGUACACUAAGGAAAGUUGAAUUCAAUAGACUUGAAAUGGCUUGAGCAUUGUCUUUAGCUUAGAGGUAUGAUGUUCUUUGAGACCUUUGGAAAAUACUCUUUCUCAUUAGUGAGUCAACCUUCAUUGCAUUUGAUCUCAUAAGCUACCAGUGUAAAGCUCAGAGAGUUCAUUUCAAUUCCCACUAUGUAUUUUUUUUGGCAUACUCAUAUUUGGCAUACUCAGUACACAGGACAUGGUAAAGGCAAUGGAAUCUCAGAUUUUCUUUUCCAACUUCAGGGGUUCAAUGCACAUCUGUACUCCUGUUUUGUGUAGUCAUAACAUUUUACUAUAAAUUAAUAUUAUAAUAUUUCACUGUAAUUAAAGUUUAAAUUCAUAUUUAUAAAUUUUAAGAUAAUUGGAAUCUGUGAAUAAAUUCCUGAAAAGUAUAAAACAAUGUUUAAACCUAUGAUGCGAGUUGCAUUUGCUGCAUUAGUAUUUGUUUCAUUUAUGGGUUGAAUCACAUAAAUGUGUAUUAAAGAAAGAGUAUUUGAAUAGUUCAACUAAUGUAGUGAAAAUAUUCGAGCAAAGCAAUAGAUUAAACUCUUUACAUCACUAUAGUAUUUUGUUUGCUCAUUCGAUAGAAUGAAUGUGAGACUAGAUUCAAUGCAACCUAAAGAAAUAAACACCACAGACAUGUCAUCAAAAGCAAUUUUUAAACUCUUUCACAUAAAAAUAUUUGAGACUAUAUUUGUGCCAUUUUCAAGUAGUACUAAAAAUGAUAAUCUCUGAUUUUAAUCUAUCUGAUAAAAUAAACUUCAAUGGCAAAUAAGAGUUUCUGAAAAAUAAUGUGCUAAUGCAAAUAUCUAAAAAUCUAAAACAAACAAACAAACCAAAGACUAAGUAACCCAUUAUUCAAAGUGGAUCAUAGAUCGAAAUCUAAAAAGGUCAAAAUUGGGUAUUACCAGGAAGGAAGCCAAAAUAAUUCAAGUAAAUACUUAAGGCGCAAGAAAAAUCACUCAAUUUAAAGUUGGACAAUACAUGGAACUUAUAUUUGUACAAAUGGGACAUACAAGUGACAGUCUUCAGAGGGAUGACCAAGUUCAAAUCUUUUGGGGAGUUUUAAAUCAGACUACAUAAGACAGCAUGUGCAGAACAACUGAAUUUCAAAUGUCCAAGUCGUCAAUGGUGUUAAGCAUCAAGGUAAGUGAAACAACCUUUUGUAAGUUGUGAGUAUGUGAUGAUACAUUUAUAGAAAGAAAAAAACCUGUUUCUUAUAAAGGUCAAUAUAGAUAUGACAAAAGUCCAAAAAUCUAUUUUGUGUAUGUGGUCCAUGAGUUCUAAACAUAUGUCCAUAGGAAAGUGUGAAAUUAGGUCUUUAUAGUGUCAUUUCAAACAUGGUAAUAAUCUAGUAUCAGCAAAAUAUUGAGUGACUGACAGCGGGUUUAUUAUUAUCAUUAUUUUAUUCUUCUUUUAUACAUUACAUCAUAGCAAUAAGGCGCAUUCACUCCUACCACCCCUUCCCCAAUCUCUGUCUCACUCACAUCUACCCCUCUAUUUCUCUUGAAAAGAGAGCAGGACACCCAGGGAUAUCAAAGAUGUUAUAAAAAGCUACAAUGUGCCUGGGCACAUACUCUCAUCUCUAGGCUGAGAAAGGCAUCUCAGUAGAUUGAGGAGGAUCCCAAGAGCAGGCAAAAGAGUAAGGGAUACCUGUUCUCAUCCUUACUAAUAGGAACCCAACAAAAACACCAAGCUAUUCAACCAUAACAUAUAUGCAGAGGAUGGAGCUGAGACUUAUACAAGUCUUUGCAAACCCCAUGAGCCCUGUGUAGUUGACUCUUCAGCCUGUGUUUUCCUGGUGUUCUUGACCCAUCUGACUCCUACAUUCUUUUCUCCUCACCUUCUGUGGGUUUUUUCCCUAGCUUCACCUAGUGUUUGACAGUGGAUCUCUAGGGGGCUAUCCAGUCUCUGGUUCCUGGUCAUCCAGAAAGUAUCAGGCAUGGGAUCCCUCCCGUGGUUUGAGAAUCAAGUUGAACCACCCAUAGUUGGGUAAUCCCCCCACCCCAAUUUUCUGCCAUCAUUACCCAAGCAUAUCUUUUACAGACAGAACACUACUGUUGGUCUUUGUGACAAGGUUUUGCGGCAAAGUUAUGUCCCAUCUAAAGAGCUACAAAUAAAGAGGUGACUAUCAUAUUUCUUAAUUUGGGGAUUUUUUUAUAUCAUUUGGCUUAUUAUUUAAGAACCUGAUGGAUCUAGGGCAUACAUUUGAAAUAUGUAUGAAUAUGAAGAAAAUACAUAAAAAAACACUUGAAAUAAUUCGUAGUUAUUUCAAUGUGCUUACAGACAACAGAGAUCAUGAAGAUUUCUUCAUAUUAUCCACUCGAAUUAUACAUUUUAUAUACAUUACUAUCAGCCUAAAAUAUAUUAACAUACAACAUGAUAAUGUAUGUAUUAUUAUAUUCACAACUAUAUAUGUGCCCAAACAUCCAUGCAUUGUGAUGAUGAACAAUAUUGUUUUUACAGCUAAAAUUUUUACCUAAGUAAAGUUCUAUUAGAAAAUGACUUUAAGAUACAGUCUCCAUAGAGACACCGCCGUGGCAAGCGGGAGCAGGAUGGGCACUGUGUGACUCUGUGCAUCGCAGAAGAAAAUCAACUAAACAUGGGCAAAGGAGAUCCUAAGAAGCCGAGAGGCAAAAUGCUCUCAUAUGCAUUCUUUGUGCAAACCUGCCGGGAGGAGCACAAGAAGCAGCACUCGGAUGCUUCUGUCAACUUCUCGGAGUUCUCCAAGAAGUGCUCAGAGAGGUGGAAGACCAUGUCUGCUAAAGAAAAUAGGGAAAUUUGGGGGUUGGGGAUUUAGCUCAGUGGUAGAGCGCUUGUCUAGCAAGCGCAAGGCCCUGGGUUCGGUCCCCAGCUCCGUUAAAAAAAAAGUCAAAAAGAAAAUAGGAAUAUUUGAAGAUAUGACAAAGGCUGGCAAGGCUAGUUAUGAAAGAGAAAUGAAAACCUACCUCCCCCCGCAAAAGGAGAGACCAAAAAGAAGUUCAAGGAGCCCAUUGCACCCUAGAGGCUUCCUUUGGCCUUCUUGUUCUGUUCUGAGUACUGCCCAAAAAUAAAAGACGAGCAUCCUGGUUUAUCCAUUGGUGAUGUCACAAAGAAACUAGGAGAGACGUGGAGUAACACUGCUGUGAAUGACAAGCAGCCCUAUGAGAAGGAGGCCGCCAAGUUGAAGGAGAAGUGUGAGAAGGAUAUUGCUGCCUACAGAGCUAAAGGAAAACCUGAUGCAGCGAGAAAGGGGGUGGUCAAGGCUGAGAAGAGCAAGGAAAAGAAGGAAGAAAAAGACGAUGAGGAGGAUGAAGAGGAUGAGGAAGAGGAGGACGAGGGUGAAGAAGAAGAUGAUGACGAAUAAGUUGGUUCUAACUCAGUUUUUUUUCUUGUCUAUAAAGCAUUUAACGCCCCUGUACACAACUCGCUCCUUUUAAAGAAAACAAUUGAAAUGUAAGGCUGUGUAAAAUUUGUUUUUAAACUGUACAGUGUCUUUUUUUUUUUUUUUGUAUAGUUAACACACUACCGAAUGUGUCUUUAGAUAGUUUUGUCCUGGUGGUAUUUUCAAUAGCCACUAACUUUGCCCUGUACACUCUGGGGGUUGUAAAUUGGCAUGGAAAUUAAAGUACAUUCUUGUUGGUGCACAGCACAAAUUAGUUAUAUAUGGGGACAGUAGUUUGGGUUUUUUGUUUCUGUUUUUUUUUCUUUUGGUUUUCUUUUGGGUUUAUAUUUUCCAUAUUCAGUUGUCUCGGGGCUGGGGAUUUAGCUCAGUGGUAGAGCGCUUGCCUAGGAAGUGCAAGGCCCUGGGUUCGGUCCCCAGCUCCGGAAGAAAAAAAAAAAAGAAGAAGAACUUCAGUUGUCUCUGAUGCAGCUUAUACGAAGAUAAUUGUUGUUCUGUUUAUUGAAUACUACUCUGUAGUUGCAAAAUAAUUGCGGCUGUUUUUGUUGACAUUUUGAAUAUUUCUAAGUAAAUAAAAAUUUUUUAUUAAAAAAAAGAAAGUGACCUUAAACAAAUACAAACUGUUACUCAGAGAUACGGUAAUAAAUGUUACUGACUUACUUCCAUGAUUAAUGUCGGCAUAGACUGAAACAACUAACAUGGUAAAGAUAAGUGGCAAUGAUUUUCACAUUAAAAUUGUCUCAAGACUCCCCAGUAUAGAGAAAAGCAAUGCAUUUAGAAGUUAUUUCAUCACUAAGUUGUUUAAAAGUGGCAGGUCAUAAUUGAAAAUUACAGCUGGUCUUAAAAAUUCUAGAAGACAUCCUGAAUUCCAUAUAUCCCUAGUUAGUGGUGUUUCAUAGCAAGAGAGACUCCUCUCUGUAAUUUUGCAUUAUGAUAUACGAAAUACAAAUAAAAACAGUAUAUCAUCUGUGUAUAAUUGCAAUAAAUGUCUAAUUAAAUACUUCUGUAAAACCUUUAUGUGGCAUGUGCAUGUGUGUUUUAAAAGCUGAACAUAGUGAAGUUUUGCUAAUUUUUUUCAUCUUUAUUAACUUGGAUAUUUCUUAUUUACAUUUCAAUUGUUAUUCCCUUUCCUGGUUUCCCGGCCAACAUCCCCCUAACCCCUCCCCCUCCCCUUCUCUACGGGUGUUCCCCUCCCCAUCCCCCCCAUUACCACCCUCCCCCCAACAAUCACAUUCACUGAGGGUUCAGUCUUGGCAGAACCAAUGGCUUCCCCUUUCACUGGUGCUCUUACUAGGCUAUUCAUUGCUACCUAUGAGGUUGGAGAGAAUUUUUUACUUGAAAUUCAUUGUAACAAUCAAAACAAUGGCAUUGGACACGUGGAAAACAGGUGCUAAUAAAGAAUGAAGAGAAAUAAUUACUUUGACUAUGGACAUUUAGGUUUUGGCACAGUUCAUAAAGUUUCUUUAACAAUAAAUGCAAAACUUUUAUUUCCGGUAUAUAUGCAUAUAUCAUAAUUAAAGCAAUUUUAUAUUCAUACAAUAUAUAUAUAUAUAUUAUAUAUGAGACAUAUAACACAAAGCAAUUGCAUAUUUAUACAAUAUAUAUUAUAUGUGAGACAUACAUAACACAGUUAAAGCAAUUGUAUACACACACAUAUAUAUAAUUAAAACAAUUGCUUUUUUAAGAGAGGAUCUUUCUCUUUUAACUUUGAGUUUUCCUUUUAAGAAAAGAAACAAAGAUAGUAAAAGAGCUACUUAGAGGCAUGGAACAACAGAUGCCUCUUAUAUGUGGCUUUAUUGUCUUUUUACAGAAUGCAUUAUUAAUUUUUAUUAAUCAUCAUUUUAAAAAAGAGAAUCUAGACAUUUUAGGGCAGAAUAUUAACAUUUUACAUUUUCUCUUGCUGCAUUUUCUCAUAAAUGGUACAAUUUUUUCUUUAGAAAAUCCUUUUAUUCCAAUUUGCCCUCAUAAGUCACAUCAAGUCUGGAGCCAACAAAGAUGGAUGGUUUUCAAUUCUUUUCUAAUGAACCAUUUCUGAAAAUGUCUGGGUCAUUUUUGUUUUUGUUUAUAUGAUAGAUUUUUUCACUUUGCUUAAAGUUAACAAUUUUAGGACCUUUCCUAAACACAUUCCAUCUUUUAAAGCAAACAUUAAAGAAGAUUCAACCACAAUAUUUUUAUAAGAUACCAGUAGCACUUAAAUUUGUUUUACUGAAAUUUACUUUUAAUUUUAAAUCAGCGAAUACCAUUAACUUGUAUUUACGCUAUGAUACAUUCUAAAAGGAGGUAGUUUUAUUUAUUUUUGUACAUGUCUAACUAAUAAAAUAAUACUUUAAUAUGUUCCUAUACAUUUUCAUUUAGAAUUUAAGAUAUUUAAUGUAUGCUUGUACUAUGAAUAAAAAUUGGGAUAAUAUGGUGUAAGAAAUAUUUGUUUCUCCACUCUAAAUGUAUCUCAGAAUUUUGUUGUGUCCUUCCAAAAUGAUCUUAAAGUUUUACUAUAAAAUAUCUCAGAGUAUGACCAAAAUAGAAAAAUAUAACACAUACUGAAACAGAGUUAAAACCAGUAAAUCCUAAGGGAUGACUGUAGUUAUAACCACCAAUGUUGUGUAACUAGAAUACAAGACAGUCCAGAAGGAAAAGUAGCGAUGAAGAGAUUGAAUCAUUGCCUUCCAGAUUUAAUCAAUAAGCACUCUAUUCAUGUAUAAUAAUACUACAUUACUUUCUGUCAAUAAAUAUAAUAAUUAAUUUAAUUUAGAUAUUAGAAUGUUUAAGGAAAUGCACAUUAAACAUCUUGACUUAGUCAUGAAUCAUUGAUUACAUAUAUACAUUAUCACACUAUGAUUUGUAUAAUCAAAUAAUUAAAAUAACACCUAAUAAAAUAUUUUAAGACAAAAGCUUUUUAUUUAAAAUGCCAAUUUUUUUAAAAUCUCUUUUAUUCCCCUGUUCAUCGUCUCACCCAGACACAACCAGUAGACUCCAUGCUGCUCAAAGUGCAGCUCAAGAAAUGAUCCAGUGGGUACAGGAUGACAGAACUAUUUUCAGUUUUCUGUAUGUAGUCAAAAAUACCCCAUCCUAGAGAGAACCUAGAUUCACUCCAGCAAGCAGGCGAGGGGCCUCAUAAAAGAAAGCUACAGUAGAUAUCACAGGAGAGUUCCCUUGGCAAAUUAGGAGGGAUAAAACAAGCAAAAACAAAACAACAAAACCUCAAUACCUUCCAAAGCAAAACAAAACAGAACAAAAGCAGAUCAAAAUUGUAUAACCAUUAUAGAAGGUUGGAAAAGGAAGGUGUUCCACCAACCGAACUGAUUAGUUAAUAAACAUUGAAUUUCAGGCUAGAGUGUGCCAUCUCCACCCGCCCCUCCUGCCUCUUUGUGAAACUAUUUUAUUACUCACAUGGUACAAUAAUGUAGUUUUGGGAAUUAAAUUUAUGUUCAACUCAUUUACUCCGUACCAAACUUUCUCCAUAUAGUAAGUAUUUUCAUAGUACUUGUUUUACAUAUAGCUGGUAAAGGCUUCAUAAUUUUUCCAUCUUUUAAAAGGCACGCAGAAUUAAACAACAGUAACAUACAAACUAACACAAACACAUUCUUUUCAUUGUUUGAUUCCUUUAUAUUUUUUAUUGGGUAUUUAUUUACUUACAUUUCAAAUGGUAUCCCUUUUCCCGAUUUCCCCUCUGGAAAUCCCCAUCCUAUCGCCCCUCCUCCUCCUUCUAUGAGGGUGCUUCCCCACCCAUCCACCCACUCCUGCAUCCCAGCCCUGGCAUUUUCCUACACUGGGCAUCAAGCCUUCCCAGACCCGAGGGACUCUCCUCCCUUUGAUGUCCAACAAGGCCAUCCUCUGCUCCAUAUGCUGUUGGCGUCAUGUCUCCCUCCGUGGGUACUCUUUGACUGCUGGUUUAGUCCCUGGAACUCAGGAGGGGUAGGGACGUGGGAGGGCAGGGUUCUGGUUGUUUGAUUUUUUUGUUCUUCCUAUGGGUUGAAAUAAAAUUGUAUCAGCUACAAUCUUUGUGCAGACUAACCAUGGUAAUACACACACAUUUACAGCUUGGCUGGUUAUUGUAAUGGUGGCACAUUGUGUGAAGCCUCGGCAUUGAAACAUUUAAGUAGAAACCCAAAGUGGAAGACCAACACUUGGGAGUUUUACUAAAGGAGAAAGCUAAAGGGCAGGUGGCUCAGCAAUUGUCCCUGUGGCGUCUUUUAGGGCAUCUAUCAUGUGAAGUCAGAGGAUGGGAAAGGAGAGAAGAGCAGGGAAGUAAACCCAGGCUGAUUCUUAGAAGCAGCAGGUAAGAGACACGUUCAAGUAUUUCUCUCAACACAACCUGAGUUCAUACAGAAGACACUCAGAGGAGUUGGAAGCAGUGACAGGGGCUAAAAUACAGUGCUCGUCUUAUCCAAUCCCCUGUGUUUAAUCUGUUUAUCUUUGUGACCAUAGUCCCCAUGGUAACUAAAGUUCCAAGUCAGGAUUCUGACACACACCACCCCACCUCCAUCUCUACCCCUGGAUUCUGAGGAGGCUAAUAAUAGAUACUUUGAGAUCAUCUGUGGGGACAGUAGGUGCCCUGUGGCACUUAGACUCUCUUUUUCCUGUGGGAGUCAGCUUCACCUGCAGUCUGGAAUGAAUUAUGAUGACUGUUCCUCCAUCCAGACGGUUCCUGCUGGAAGCUAAAAACAGAACCUCUCCCUUUCUGGGGAGUCUGAGAAAAAGGCUGCUUCAGCCUAGGAUUUGUUCUAGGCUGGGCAGAUGUAUGUGGGUAGUUGCCUAUGGCAAGAGGGCGUUCUGCAUCCAUGGACGUCUCUAUUUCUUUAAAGAAUAGCUGAUUUGACAUUCUCAGAGUUCGUCACCAUCUAAUGAGAUCCUUUUCCUGAAGAUCAUUUGGACCUGGGUGACUUCGUCAUUCUCAAAGGAACAAACUCAACUCUGCAGACCAUUUCACAGAAUCCUCAGAGACCAGAUUGCUGCCGACCUGCCAUGGUGGCGUGGUAGCUGAUUCGUUUGGAGAUUCUCCCACUAGGGCUCCAUGAAACUAUGUGUAGACCUUGCCCUAGAGCAGUGCUCCACCCCGGACCCAAAUUGAUGAAUUCGAGCUCGUAGAAGUUCGUUCUGUUUUUUAAAAGAAAAAAAUUACAAAAGCGCUAAUUAAAGUGGAUUUAUUUUGGUGGGACAUAAUGCCUGAUCUUUGGGGAAAUCUGAGUCCAAUGAGAAAUGCAUGCAGGUGUCUGUAAGCCAAGACUGAAAGGGGCACGAUGAGCCUGUAGCGAGGGGAAGCCAAAGGCUGUGCCUGAAUCAGUGCAGUGUUGUCACUGAGGGGGCAGGAACACAGCAACAGUCCUCAGAAAAUAUCAUGGUGCCUGAUUAAAUGCCUUUCCUUCCUUCUUACUUUUAACCUAGCCUUAGUGAAUUCAGAACGUACAUUUAAUCAUUCAAAACAUAUAUUUUAUUUUAAAUUAGCUUCCACUGAUUCACUAAUAUAAAACACGUGCGAACAAUAUCAUAGGAGACACAACAUACAAGGCAAAAUGGCACAUCCCUUAUUUUUCUUUUCAGCCGGGCGCACUGGAAUUAAGAUAAUUAUUUAAUCAUCUACAUCGUCUUUAUAAAUGAGACAGCGUUUGGCAGCUCUCUUAUUUUGGAGCUUGAAAGACACCAUUUCGUGCCCUCGUGUGGUGCCAAGUUUCUCUUGAAAAGGAUGCUGUUAUUUUCAUGAGUUUUGUUCUCAUAAGAAAUGGGUCACCUCUGUCUUACAGCAUUCAGUGUUGUUUUCUAUAGUUACACACUUAACUACUGUCUAGUAAAGGUAAUUAAUUUCUCCUCAUGAAUGCAUAGGGUAGAAAUGCCUUCUCUUACCGGAGUUCUACGGCAUUCUUAACAUAUGAAAAAUGUUGUAAUAUUUAACAAAAUAUACUUUAUUGUUUUAUCCUGAUCUCCUUCCUCUCCACCUAUUAUCCCAGACUUUAUUAUCAUGCACACAGCUUGAUCUUCUUGGUUAUUUUCAUAGUUUUCUAAACUACUGAUUGAACAUGAUGCUUCAAGGGCUUGUCUUCAUUCUCUGAAACUCAGUUUUUUUCACAUUUAUAGUUAAAACCAUCAAGGUUUUUUUUUCAUCUUUAUUAACUUGAGUAUUUCUUAUUUACAUUUAGAUUGUUAUUCCCCUUCCCGGUUUCCAGGCCAACAUCCCCCUAACUCCUCCCCCUUCCCUUCUCUAUGGGUGUUCCCCUCCCCACACUCCUCAAGAGUUUUUAAAAAUGGCCUUUUCAGUUCUAUAUUUUCAUAAUAUCUAUUAGUCAUUUUAAAUAUUUCUAUCUUAAUGUCUCAAUACUCUGUACAGUCUUCCUUCUUCCUUCAAGUACGUUAUUGAGUCGUAUUAGGUAUUUCAUCUACAUCAACAACUUUAAUGUUCUCUAGUAGGGAUUUAUAAAUAUCAGGUUCAGCCCAUACUGCCAUGUGUAUUCAUGUUUUUGUAUUUAUAUAGUAGACAUUUCCCGUCAUAGAACAUGAUUGGGACUAUAUUGGGGAUAAUUUUUCAUGAAAACAACUCUGGCCUGCUGACUGACUUUGUAUUAAUUUUAUUCAAAUGUUUGUACAAUAUUUUAUGUGGUUGGUCAUGGAUGUCUCUGCAUACUGUAGUGAAAACUGGGGGAGGGAUUGUAUCUUUCUUAUUUGAGAGGUUCUUUCUCUAAAGGACAUUCAUUAGUAGUGUCACUCUGAUAGCGCCAGCAAUUUUGGUGCUGACAGCAGAGUAUCAGACUCAUAUUCUCAGUGCUUACUCCUCUAGACUCUUCAGCACUCAGUUUUGUGAGUUUAGGGGUGAGAUAGGGUUACCUUAAUUGUUGUUAUUAUUCAUUAUUCGGCGGUCUUCCUGAGGAUUUCUAUUGCUGUGACAAAAUACCAUGACAAAAAGAAAAAAAAAACAGCUUGGGAAAGAAAGAUUUAUUUCUGCCUACAAUUCUGAGAUCACACUGCAUUGCUGAAUAAGUCAAUGCAGAAACCAUGGAUAAGCGUUGUUUGUGGGCUUGCUUUCACAUGGCUUGCUCACUUGAUUUCGUAUAUUCCUAAGACCAUGUGCUCAAGGUUGACACCACCUACAACAGGCUGGAUCCUCCCACUGCAACACUGACUGAGAAAAUACAGCACACACUCUUACUUGGUGGUUGCAAAACUUAGGAGACAAUUUUUUUUUUUAGAGGAAAAUUCCUUUCCCCAAGAAACUCAAAUUUUGAUCAAGAUGACAAUAAAUUAGCCAACACAAGGAUAUGCUAUCUGAAUCAGAUCAAUUGGGCAAGAAAUCUAAUUAAAAUGGGUAUAUUUAGAAAAAUAAUCACAAUUAUACUGUGUAUGAGUCACAGUUCUCUAGAGGAAAAAAGGAGAAAAUGAGUAUGUGUCAAUAGGAUUUAUUAGCUUGAUUUACAUGGCAUUCUCUAGAUUGCUUAGGAAGUUUCUUUCCUUUAUCUCUUUUUGUCCGGAUUGUCACGUGAAGGUGUCUUCAUGCCAUUGUUUGAAGGUGUCAUUAUUUGAAGGGUUUUCCUACUUCAAAUAAUUUGAUCAAGAAAAUUACUCAUAAAAAUUCCCCAUAGCUUUCCAUUCGAUUGGCUGUACAUUUAGUCAUAACACAACCAAGAUUUAUUAUUACAUAUGAAUCAGCAAAACUAUAACCAAGUAUUAACAAUCUGUGAAGACUCUACCUCAAACAUUUAGGUCUUAAAGUUUUAUCAAAGAUACUGUAUAUAAAAUCAGCAUACAACAUAAGUAGGGCUUCUCUCCACCAAUAAUGAACACUGACUGGAAGAUAUCAGGAAGGCAAUCUCAUUUAAAAUAUCUCAUUCAGAAAUAUCCAAAAAUAAACUAGAGAAAAUACCUCUCCGGUAUAAUCCAAAGAUAGACACACAGGAGAUUAGAAACUGAAGAAGAUGCUAGGUAAUAGAAGGAAAUACAUUAGCAGAAUAUUGUUAAAAUGGAAAUAUUAUAAAGUGAUUCACAGAUUCAAGGAAGUCUCCAUUAAG